ACCCAUCAGAUUUUGUUUUUAUCUUAUACACCCAUCGACAACCAAUCGCAUGCUUACCAGGUGGGAGAGUAACCAAAUCCCAUGUAUGUGUAUGAUGAAGAGCAGCAAGUUCCUCAGCCAUAGCAUUCUGCCAAAGAGGAUCAGACACAGCCUCUCUAUACGACUCAGGUUCAGACAAAUGAUGUAUGUUUGCAAUAAAGGAAGCAAAUGAGGCUGAAUAUGUAGAAUAGUAAAAAUCUGGCAGUUUGGUGGACUUACAAGGUCGAGUAGACCUCCUCAGAGGUGGUGGGUCUCCAGUCUCAACAGUCGAAGGAGCAGACUCAGGCACAGGCGAGGCUGAAGCACUAUCAGGUGGCACACCAGAUGGCAUGGAUGAAUCCGGAACUGGAACCUCUAUGUCAAUCCCAAAGGGAUCAAUAAGCCGAAUAUCUGACUUUGUCACAUCAUGGGUUUUAGCUGGAAUGGAAUAAAAAGGAAUAUGUUCCAAAAAAGUGACAUGUCGUGAAACAUAUAAUUUCUGACUUACAGGAUCAUAGCAACGAUAUCCUUUUUGUCCAAUACCAUACCCCAAAAACACACAUAUAGCUGAUUUUGACCCUAACUUAUUUCGUUCAACAUGAGGACGAAGAACAAAGCAAGUACAUCCAAAAACUCGUAAUGCAGAAUAAUUCGGCGGGUGACCAUAUAGUUUCUCAAACGGAGACAUCCCUGAAGUCAAUGCAGUAGGAAUACGAUUAAUCACAUAUACAGCAGUUAGAACUGCUUCUCCCCAAAAAAUACUAGGAACCUCUGCAGACAAAAGUAAAGAGCGUGCUGUCUCAACAAUAUGACGAUGUUUUCUUUCUGCCAGACCGUUCUGCUCAGGAGUGUCGGUACAAGAUGACUGGUGUAUGGUACCAUCAGAGGCAAGUAACUGAGUGAAGUCAUUAGAGGUAUAUUCACCCCCUAAGUCACACCUGAAACACUUUAUCACAGCCGAAUGUUGUGUUUUAACAAGGGCUCUAAAGUUGUUGUAAAUGCCAAAGAAAUCAGAUCUGCGUUUCAUAAGAUACACCCAGGUAUAACGAGUAUAGUCAUCUAUAAACGAAACAUAAUAGGUCGAUCCACCCUUAGUGGAUACUGGCGCUGGUCCCCAUACAUCAGAAUGAAUAAUAUCAAAAGGAGCAACAGAAUAAGACACACUUUUAUUAAACGGUAAGGCAGAAAAUUUUGCCAGUUUACAACCACUACAAUCUGAAAUAUCACUAGUGUUCACAUGACCCAAAGCACCACUAGAGACCAAAAAACGUAAACGUGAAACUGACACAUGUCCUAAUCUGGAAUGCCAAAGAUAAAACUGAGAAGACAAAGGACUCAAACGAAAAGAAGAUAAAUCUAUGCUAGAGGCAGCAACUACAGACACUUUGAGAUUCUCCAAGACAUAGAGUUCCCCCAACCUACGGCCGGUCCCAAUCACCCUCUGAGUGUGUUGGUCCUGUAUAACACAAACAGAAUCAGAAAAAAACACCCAAUUACCAGCCUUACACAACUGACUGACCGAAACAAGAUUUAAAGCAAGUUUGGGAAUGUAAUAAACAUCAGAGAGGACAAUGUGAGGGGUAGUAACAGAACCAACACCCUCGACUGACAUAGGUACAGCACUCGCGGACAUAACAGAGAUUGGUGAAAUGGGUGACAAAGAACCAAACGAUGACAAAUGAGGGGACAUGUGAUGAGACGCACCAGAAUCCAAUAUCCACAAGGAGGAAGGAAUACCUGAGGUACUAGAAGAAACUGAACCCGAAUGAGACAUAGAUGCUGACAUGGCCGUAGGAUUAGAAACGAAGAACUGUCUGAACUGUUCGAAAACCUGGGGAUCCAACGCAGAAGGUGGCAUAGUGCUAACAGACUCAACAUCUACAGAUGGUGCAGCAGCAGCGAACUGUGGAGGACGAGAUGACCACGGAGGAGCACCAGAUGGGCGUGACGGAUACUUUUGCUGCCCAUAUUUCUGUUGCUGCCCAGAUUGAGGCUGUUUGACCUUGUUAAGUAACAACGGACACUGAGCCUUCCAAUGAUUUUUCUGUUUGCAGAAUGCACACUCAUCAAAUGCAACUUUAGGAGAUUGUCGAGUCUGAGUACGUGGUGGCCUAGACUGAUCAGUUGAAGCAGCAAACACGACAGGAGUAGUAGUUACUUUAGACCCUUUAUCCACUUGAGACUUGAUACGAGUCUCCUCUGCAAUCAGUUCAUGAACCACAGAAUCAACAGUAGGGAGGGGAGAUCGAUGAAGGAUUGUUCCACGUAGGCCCUCAAAGUCAGAACGUAGUGCCAUCAAAAACUGAACCAAGCGUUGCUCUUCCCGUCUAGCAAUGUACGGCCCAAAACCUUUUAACUCUGCAGAUUCAGUAAGUGCCAAUUGAUCCCACAAAUCCGACAUGGCAGCAUAAAAAUCUUGAAUACUGAGAUCAUGCUGUUGAAGAGCACGGAUAUCAUACUCCAACUGGUACUGCUUAGCAAAAUUAGACUGAGUGUACAGUCUUUCCAAAUGAUCCCAGACCUCCUUUGCUGUGUCAUACUUAGCCAAUUGCAUACCAAUUGACUGAGUUACAGAAUUGUUGAUCCAAGUGAUAAUCUUGGAGUUAUUAGUUUCCCAUAAGUCCACCAACAAAUCAAAAUUUUCAGUUUUAUCAUCGAUAGGUCUUGGUUUUACUCCAGUGAUAUAACCCCACAUAUUCUUCCCACGAAGAAAAUUCUUCAUGACAUAACUCCAAUAUGCAUAGUUCUUACCAUCUAAUUGAGUACUAAUGGACUGGAGAGAAUCAUCCUUUCCAGUCAUUGUAAACACAGCAACACACAAACAAUUCAAAAAACAAAAAGAUGCAAAACCCUAGGUUGAACAAUUCCGAACGAACAACAAUGGCAGCAAGCAAAAGAACGAAAGACGAACAAUACCAGACAGCAAACGAAGACAGCAACGAAUCAAUCCAACCAAAAAACCCAACGAAAAGAGCAAACGAAUACAGCAGCACCUCAAAAAAAUUCGGGGCUCCGCCCCGAACCCCGGACGGGGGCGCGCUGCCCCCCGUACCCCCCAGCGAACUCACCGCGGAGUUCGAUCCGCGCAGUAGGUGCCUGCUACAAAAUCUUCAACCAACAAAUCAAAGGACAUGGAUCAAACCAGCUCUGAUACCAUGUUAAUAGAACUUUAUUGAAAGAAAGAAAGGCUAAGGUUUACAAUAUAAUCUGAAAAGCAUAAAAACUAACUAAAACAAAAGUAGGCUAUAUAUAUACAUAGCCAAUAACCUAAAGGUCCAUAAACUAAAGGCCCAAUAACAUAUGGGCUAACAAGGAUAUAUAUGGUUAGAGAUAAAGAAAAAAAGAUUUGAUUUGUAGUCUAAUAGGAAUGUUAUUUUAGUUGCUAGGGAUUUUGUAGUCUAUUAGGAAUGUUAUUUUAGUUAGAGAAAAUACCCAAUUACCCCCCUCGAACUAUACCCGAAAGAGUUGUGACUCACCUCAACUUCAAGGGGGUCCUAUUACCCCUGAACUAAUUAAAAGUGAAAUUUUCACCUCUUUAGUUCGUUUCAAAAAAUGUCUGGAAAAAACAAUGAAAAUGUUGUACGUAUUGUACAAAAGGUUACAAUUCUGGUGAAGUAUCAAAGAGUACUAAGACAAGUUACAAUGACUAUGGCGGCGGUUCGUCUAGCAAGGUGACCCAGAAUUAUAAGACCGGUGAAUUUGUAGAUAGGCGUAGUGGGCGCUAAGGUUAUAGAGAGGAAGCUAAUUAUAAAUCGACUUAUCAAGUAAAUGACAAAGCUCAUGGUGUUACGAGAAAGACUACUACUACUUAUGAAAACCCUAGCAAAUUUAACAACUAUAAUAAGUCUAAUUAUUAUUAGGAUUAAUUAAUGAUCUUUGUUGAUCAUGUUAUGGUAUCUGUUAUCUUUCACCGGUAUAAGUAUUAAGUUAUUUUAAUUUCUCUAUGUAAUUGUUGGGUUGGGGGUGGGGGUGGGGUGUUGAAAGUGGACUAGGGGUUGUUGGUGAAUGGUUUUAUGUUAUUGUUGGUUUCAAGUUAUUGGAAUGGUCACUAUGGUAUUUUCAAGAGUAUGAUUGUUCUUUUUGUUUUAUUUUACUUGUUUAAUUUAUGAAAUUAAGAGAAGUUUGCUAUUUUCUUCCAAUACUACAAAAAUGCGAAGAGCUCAUGGUGUAGCAAAGUGAUUUGAGAAAAGUGUUUGUAAGUCUUCUUACAAUUGAGUAUCGGAGAAAGUGUCAAGUACAAGUGUCAAUUAGACCAUCAAAAAUUGUGAUAAAAUAAUAAAUACUUAUUUAUAUUUAAUUAGAGAUUUCGGGUUAAUAAAGUUGACGCUAGUUGGAGUUGUUUGUAAAUUUCACGAAAUCUUCAAUAAUUCAACGUUAUCAUUGCUCUUUGUUAGGAUUUUUUACCCUGAUUUUCUUACUAAGUUUAGGUAAAAGUAAUACAAUAAUUACUUUUUUUCCCGAAAGUAAAAUAUUUUUUUUUUCGUAUUUGGCUUCAUCAAAGAUUCUUGUAUAGGCAAUAAAUUUUAAGUUUUUUGAUCUAGUUUUCAAUAUGUAGCUUUAUGGCCAAUCAUAUUAAACAAUAUGUGUUUUUAUUAUAAUUUUCUUUAUCGUCUGAAUUAUCGGCUCCAUGGUUUGCAAACUAAAAGUUUCCGCAUGAUGCUCUCUCGAUUUCCAUCCCAACACUCUUUGUGAAUGAAAAUGAAAUUAAUCAAUUGGAUAUGAAAUACCUUUUCCGUUUUAAUUUGUUUGAUGAAUAUAAAGAACUUUUGAAUCUUGUGGUGUUAAAUUAAAGAUAUAUUAAAUGUACCAAAAUGAUAUUUAAUCUUGUGGUCGUCAUUUGGAUAGAUAAAUUAAAAAAUUGCUAUAAAUUGUUGAAGUAAUAUAAUGAUCACUUUGGUACUUUCAUGAAUUAAUUUAGAGAAAAUACCAAAUUAGCCCUGAACUAUAUCCAAAAAAGUUAUGACACACCUCAACUUAAAAGGAGUCCUAUUACCUCCUAAACUAAUUAAAAGUGUAAUUUUGACACUCUUAGUACUUACGUGGUGCCUACAUGGCAUAUACAUGGCACACACGUGUGCUUACGUGGACACUUUAGUGUGUUGUGUCACGUAUGUGCCACGUAGACACUAAGGGUGUCAAAAUUACAUUUUUAAUUAGUUCAGGGGUAAUAAGACCCCCUUUAAGUCGAGGUGUGUCAUAACCUUUUUGGGUAUAAUUCAAAGGGUAACUGGGUAUUAUAUCUCAUUAAUUUAUGUAGUUUGAUUUCACUAUGGCUUUAAUUUUAUGACGGUGUGGAUAUUUUCCAAUAUUGCAUCUUUUUUCACUUUUUGCAAUAUAUUUUAAAUGAGGUGUAGACAUAAAUGUAUGUUUCUAUAGUUAACUAUAGGUUUCAGUUUCAAGUCAUGAAAUAAAGUCGCUGGUAGUUGGAGUAUUUUACCCCUCCAAAAUGGAUUUAUCGGUGCGAAUACGGAAUAGGCAUCGGACAUCAUGUAGGAAACUAGACAAAAUACGCAUAUAUAUAUUUUAAAAUACAGUUUCUUUUGCUCAAUCAGAACUCAUAAAUUUAAAAUCUUAAAUUCGACUAUGCUAAUCUAACACUUAAUUUGAAAAGUCCAAUCAGAACUCAUAAAUUUAAAAUCUUGAAUCCGUCUCUGCUAAUGUAACACUUAAUUUGAAUAACAUGUAAGUCCAAUCGGAACUCAUAAAUUUAAAAUCUUGAAUCUGUCUCUCUCUGCUGAUCUAACACUUAACUUGAACAACAUGUAAAUAACAUGUAAGUCCAAUCAGAACUCAUAAAUUUAAAAUCUUGAAUCCGUCUCUGCUAAUGUAACACUUAAUUUAAAUAACAUGUAAGUCCAAUCGGAAUUCAUAAAUUUAAAAUCUUGAAUCUGUCUCUGCUGAUCUAACACUUAACUUGAACAACAUGUAAAUAACAUGUAAGUCCAAUCAAAACUCAUAAAUUUAAAAUCUUGAAUCCGUCUCGGCUAAUCUAACACUUAAUUUGAAAAGUCCAAUCAGAACUCAUAAAUUUAACAUCUUGAAUCCGUCUCUGCUAAUGUAACACUUAAUUUGAAUAACAUGUAAGUCCAAUCGGAACUCAUAAAUUUAAAAUCUUGAAACUGUCUCUGCUAAUCUAACACUUAACUUGAACAACAUGUAAAUCAUAAGGAAGAAUAUUAGAAUACUUAAAAGAAAUAACUUCUCCUGGUAAAAUCCUAUUGCCAUUUUUCAAAAGACAUAUUCCACAAUCACCAAUUCUUCUAAAAAUUGAUGGUUUAAUAAGAUUUGUUGAAGCAAAUUCACCACAAUGUAUUUGAACAUCAAAUACUCCAUGAAUAGAUGAAGCUUCAUUCACAAUUUGAACUGUAUAUUGGGGUAUAUGUUGACCAUUAUAACCUGAUGGACCUUGGUAUAUUUGUAUAUCUGAUGGACAACAUUUUCUUGUAUAGUCAAGCCAACCUACAAAAAAAAUAAAAAAAAAAUCAUGUAAAAUAAAUGAAUAACAAGAAAAGGUAAUUUUUCACUUUUUACUGGGGUCUCGAUAAAUCUGAAUUCAUGUAACGUUCAUUCUUUUAUUCAUUUAAAACAAGCUCGAAGUGAGAGGAGGUAUUUAAUGAACCUUACGCGAUAUAAAUUCGAAUUAAUUAAUGGGGUCUCGAUAAAUCUGGAUUCAUGUAAGUUUAUUUUUUUCUACAUUCAAAACAAGCUCUAAGUGAGAGAGGUAGGGAGUGCUUCUCUUUUAAUGAACCUUACGCGGUACAAAUUUAAAUUAAUCAAAAUUCAAUACAGAUAUCGAAUGCUAGGUGAAGGAACCAAAAAAAAAAAAAAACUCAAAACAACAAGAAGAAAAAUUGCAAAACACACAAUUUAAUUAAUUAAUUAAUUAAUUAAAAUAAGAGAAAUAUAGAGAUAAAAGUGAAGAAUUACAUACAUGAAAAAGUAAAAUAAAUGAAGAACAAGAAAAGGUAAUUGUCACUUUUUACUGAGGUCUCAAUAAAUCUGAAUUCAUGUAACAUUUAUUUAAGGGAGAAACACUCGCUAAUGCGAUUCUUUUCUAUAUUCAAAACAAGCUCUAAGUGAGAACAGGUAGGGAGCGUUUCUCUUUUAAUGAAUCUUACGCGAUAUAAAUUUAAAUUGAUCAAAAUUCAAUACAGAUAUCGAACUCUAAGUGAGGGGAAAAAAAACUCAAAACAACAAGAAGAAAAAUUGCAAAACACACAAUUUAAUUUAUUAAUUAAAACAAGAGAAAUACAUAGAUAAAGUGAAGAAUUACAUACAUGAAAAUGUAAAAUAAAUGAAUAACAAAGAAAAGGUAAUUUUCACUUUUUAUGUGGGGUCUCGAUAAAUCUGGAUUCACGUAACAUUCAUUUAAGGGAGAAGUUAAACACUCUCUAACGGGAUUCUUUUCUACAAUAAUCAAAAUAAGCUCUGAGUGAGAGUAGGUAGGGAGCGUUUCCCUUUUAAUGAGCCUUACGCGAUAUAAAUUCAUAUUAAUCAAAAUUUAAUACAGAUAUCCCAAAAUACAUAAUUUAAUUAAUUUAUUAAAACAAGAGAAAUAUAGAGAUAAAAGUGAAGAAUUACAUACAUGAAGUUGUGAAGGGGAAGAGAAGCAAAGACACAAUAAUUAGCCAUAAUUUUUUCCCAUAUCUUAAAGAAGGAUAAUGAAACAUGAGGAAUAAAUUUUCAAGUGGGAGAAUUUUAGUGUGAUAAAAAAAAUUAAAUAUUGGUAUGUGAAUUUUGGUGUGAAAAAAUAAAUAUAUAUAAAGGAAAAAAACCGUGAAUCUUGAUAGUUUUGCAAUGAUGAAAUGAAAAAUUGUCCAACUAGUUAGAUAAUUUUUUUUUUUAAUUUAAAGAAGAAAUGUUGAAUAGGAUACUAGCUGUUACACAUUAAUGUUCAUCAACAAGUUUGGUAUAUGGAAUAACAUUUUUGAGAAUUUUAUGGUUAUUGUUAUAAUCUCAUUUUUAAAAAAUCUAUAACAACAAUAAUAUAUCCGUUAUAGCUUAUAAGUGAAGUUUGAAAAGAAUAAAAUGUUGAUAAAUAUUAUUUUGUCCUUUUGGAUAGAGAGACUUUUUCAAUUUCACACGUAAAACUUCAGGAUAAUAUUAUCAUGGAGGUUCAAUUGUGAAAUUUAAAACGUCUUAACAUUGAUUACAUUUCAACGAUACGAUUGAAAAGUGAUGAAUGAGCGAAAUUUCUACCGAUUUAUGUAAAUAUUCCUUUUAAAACUAUCAUUUAAGUUUUGUUCCUAUUUUUAAAUAUUGUGCAAAUAUAACCCUUAUAAUUGAUAAAACAUUAGACUGUUAUCUAACGUUUUUAAAAGAACAAAAUUCAGAAAUAGCAUACUUAUUCUCUUAAUUAUGAGUUUCAUAGCAACAGUUUCAUAAUUACAUAAUAUAGCAAGUUGUAUUUUGUAUUUUUGCAAACUGUUGCUACAACAAUACAAAUACAUAUGAUUUUUACUGUCCUUAUGGUCGAUAUCUAUUUUGUAUUUUUGCAAACUGUUGCUACAAAAAUACAAAUACAUACAAAUAUAUAUAUGCUACAAAAAUACAAAUACAUGCAAAUAUAUAUGCUACAAAAUGUAAUUUGAUAAAAGUGUUGUUAUUUUUUGUAAUUUAAUACUUAAAUAUGCUACUUUAUGUAUUUUUUCCUUUUUAAAAUCUUAAAAUUCGGUUUUGGGCUAAGAAACUAAUAUCUACAUGUAUAUACACAGUUCUGGACUUGGGCCAGUUUUGUUCUAUUACUUAUUGAAGAACCAAAUUCCGAUGGAUUCCGUUGAAAAUAAUUGAAAUAAAUAAUUGCAUCUACCAUAUGAAUCACCAUAAUAUAAUAUAUAUCACCCAUUAAUAUCAUAUAAAUCAGCCAAUAAUUGAAAUAAAUAAUUGUAUCUACCGUAUGAAUCACCAUAAUACAAUAUGUAUCACCCAUUAAUAUCAUAUGUAUCACCCGUUAAAAUCAUACAAAAUGUAUCUAUCGUAUGAAUCACCAUAAUACUCAAUAAUGAUAUCAUAUUUAUCAUUCAUAUGAAUCACCAUUAAAAGAAUAAACAUGUAUGAAUAACUAAAUAAAUUUAUAUAUGCAUCAAUAGAUUUUUUUUAAAAAUAUGGAAGAGAUUUUAGGAGAGGAAAAAAAAAAGUUGCAUGCAUUAAUGGAGGAGAAAAAAUCAGGAAGGAAGACGAUUUAAGCAUUAAUGGAAGAGAAAAAAUCAGGAAGGAAGAUUAUUUAACUGUUCUACGUGCAUUAAGCCCUCGUUAUGUGUAGGAUUCGAGGAAGGAUCUGACGAUACGGAUGUAUUUUACGCAAUCUCACCUACAUUAUUUCUGCAAGGGCCUGGUCACUUGACACCAACUUUACCAGUUACUUCAAGGCUCCCUUUCAUGAGUUGUACCAAAUAUCAUUGUUUCCGAGAACCCAACUAUUAUGGUAGUGUCACAUGCAGUGGCAGACCCACAUGGGCUCGAGGGGUUCACCUGAACCCCUUCACUCAAAAAAUUAUAUUGUGUACAUAGAGUUAAAUUUUCAGUUUAUAUAUAUAUAAAAGUGAGUAGUGCAAUGGUUAAGGGGGGUCAAAUUUCCUUAAAGACCCAAGAUUAAAUCUUGGUGGAUGAAUUUAUUUAUCUUGUUUGACAUCACCUACUAAUUUAUGGAUUUCUAUAAAAUGUUAAAUUAAUAUAUAGUAAUAAUUCAAUUAAUAAUAAAUUGAUUUCAAAAUAAUUAAUAUUAUAUAGCUAAUAAACUUUUCUAUAAAAAUUAUUCAAUUUAGAUUAAAAUUAUUGAAUCUUAGCUCGCUCAUAUAUGGUCUGACCCAUUCAUAUAAAAUUCGACCCGCUAAUUUGUCAACACUAUAAAUAUGCUUACUUUUUUUCGAACCUCCUGAAUGAAAAUUUUGCAUCCACCACUGAUCACAUAGGCGUAAGAGUGGUCUGUUGAACACCCUUCGAUGAAAAAUAAUAAAUGUAUAUAUAGAGCAUUAUACGAUUUGUAUAGGUUAUAUUACUUCUAUACAUAUAUAUAUCAAAUCUUAGCUUGAACACUUUUAAUGAACUUUCUAGCUUCGUUACUAACCAGAACAUUAACGGCUACUAUAAAGUAAGGAGAUGUACAAGAACCAACCUUAGCUUGAAGCCUUGAAGCAAAUACUUAGAAAUACUCCACAAUUAACUACAUAUACACAUUCAAACUCGAGCUCGUUGUGGAGAUAAGUUUUCGAUUCGUGAACCGAAUGUCUCAACAUAAAUAAUUUGUGAUAAUUAUAUGAUUCACGUACACUUAUUUAAGGUAACUCUAAAAUGGACUUUAGAUACAUAAUAUUACUAUAUGGUUUAUCUUAAAAGAUUACAAAAAAAUAUAUAUUAAUUGACAGUCAAGUCAUACACGUUAUUUAGCAAGAUGACAAAGAGAAAGCAUUAUUCACACACAAAAAAAAAUUUACAACAACCAUUAAUUUACCCACAAGCUUUCCCUAUUCCCCCUCUACAUAAUUAUACAUUAUUGCAAAUUAUACCCUAGUGCAUAAUCUUGAUACAUUUCAUCAUGAGUAUUUUGAAGAAUAUUUGAAGAUGAACCCCAAGAAUUUGAUGCUGAAGCUCUAUUUGUAUCAAAUUCAUUAGACCACCAUGCCAAAUCGAAUUCGGAGUUCAUAUUCAUGCCUAUCGAUCCCUUGUUGCUGAGAAUUAGGUCAUCGAUCUCCAGCUGAGUAAAACCCUGAACGCCCUGAAUCUGGAUCUGAUCUCUCGUGUUUUCUUGACCUACGUUCGUGUCAAGAACAUCAAUUGGACUACUUUUUUCCACUUGAUCAUUCACCUUGAAGUUAGUACUAGCAAAUUCAUUCAUCCCAACUUUUUGCCCUAGUUCUUGAGCAUGGUUUUCACUAGGGUUUAUCGGCGCGUAAAGAGGUGGUUGAUCCUCAUUUAAGCCAUUAACUUGUAGGGUUUGGAUCAUUUUUUGUUGAAGAGGGGUUAACUUAGGCCAAAGUGAUGGAUUAUUAUAAAAAGAAAGAGGGUUUGUUAGGGUUUGAAGUUGCAUAUGAAGUUGAAGUCUUUCAAGAGCUGAGUUACUUAGGUUUUGUAAUAAUGGAUUUUCUUCUAAUCCAUUUAGUUCUUUAAGAUCUUGACCACCAUUAGCAAGCAAUAAUCUAUUCAUUUGAGAUUGUUUUCUUUUUCCAAGAAGCUUCUUCUUCAGUCUGGUGUUCCAGUAAUUCUUGAUAUCGUUAUCUGUUCUUCCAGGAAGCUGUGCAGCUAUUAUCGACCACCUAAAGUUUUCGCGAAAAAAUGGUUUUAACACAAUCAGAUUAAGUAUAUUUCGAGACAUAACACAACAACAACAGCAACAACAUACCCAGUGUAUUCCCACAUAGUAGGGUCUAGGGAGGGUAGAGUGUACGCAGACCAUACCACUACCUCAGGUGAAGUAGAAAGGUUGUUUCCGAUAGACCCACAGCUUAGGACCGAUAAUAGUAUAACAAACACGAAAGAUAAGUGCAUAUAAACUAGUACGGUAUGCACAAUAAACUAACACCACUAGCCACAAGAUAAUACUACAGCCACAACACCACGAACAAGACACAAAAGAACGCUCCCCUACUAUUACCGAUGCAUUCCCACCCUCUAACCCUCUACCCUUAAUUAUAUUAUUUCGACACAUAAUAUAAUUAAGUAAUCAAAAGUAUGCACUAUACGGCUUAAUCACGCUUUCAGAUGAGAUGACGAAAAGGUAUAAGAGAACUAAAAAUAUGUUUUCUCGCUGACAACUUAGACUUUCAGAUGAGAUGAUUACAAAGAUAAACAAAAGGACGGUUUUAAAAAUAAUUAGAUUAUCGUUCUGAAGCAUAUAAUAUAGUUCAGUAAAUGAAAGUCUGUUCUCUCUACUAGCUAAUCGUGUUUAGCUUUCAGAUGAGAUGAUCAUCAAAGACUUAAACAAGAAAAGAAGUCUUAAGAACUUUAUAGGGAUGAGAGAAAUUCAUAACAAAUGAUCUGUUAACAACAAGGACUAAAGGACAAAGUAAUUUAUUAGUUGGAUUUCCAUUACUUUUUGUUGUUAUUAUUUUGUGUUUAUCUAUGUUAGAAUUAAAGAUAGAUGAAUAUAUAUAUAUUUACCUGCUUCCAAUACUAAUAUAGAGACUGCAAAUGAUAUUGUCUUCUUCUUCAGUAAAUCCACCAUGUUUAAUAUUAGGUCUUAGGUAAUUCAACCAUCUUAACCUGCAACUCUUUCCACAUCUCUUAAGCCCUACAACAACAAUAACAACAACGUCUCAGUCACAAACAAGUUUUCGAGGACUUUUAGGUUUUUCUAAAACCCUAAAAGAAUAAUUUUUUUUAAACAUCAUCAAUCAAAUGAGUCAUGAAACCCUAUGACGACAAUAACAACUACGGCUCAGUCUCAAAACAAGUUUCCUAAGGAUUGUUAGGUUUUUCUUAAGCCUUAAUAUAAUAUUUUAAAACAUCAUCAAUCAUAUAUUAAUUAUCUUGAAAACAAAACACUCAAAAUAUUGGAGGUAUGUUUUUAUUCUAAUAAAUUUUAAACAUCUCUUAUAUUAAGCCCUACAACAACAAUAGAAAUAACUACGUCUCAGUAUCAAGACAAGUUUUCGAGAACUUAUAGGUCAUUUUGAAGCCCUAAGUAAAUAUUUUACACGGUAUUUUUCGAUCAAAACAAUCGAUACAUAGAGACAAAUGCAUCCGUUGUCGCCUAAUGGUUCAAUAAAGUGGAGGUCUCGGGUUCAAUUUCCAACAAAGACAAACACUAGGUGAUUUCUACUCUAUCUGUUCUAGUCUUGGUAGACAGAGUUACAUGAUAGUUAUUGCUGGUGGGAAGUGACAGGUAUCCCGUGGAUUUAGUCGAGGUGCGUGAAAGUUGGUCCGGACAUGACGGUUAUUAAAAAAAUUACAUAGAGACAAAUAGAAGAAUUUGAUACCUAUUUUUUGGGGAAGAGCAAUCCAAUUGUUACCAGUGCCAUUUUCUUCAAUAUAAGCCUUGAGUUUUGCAUCUUCUUCUGGUGACCAUGGUCCUUUUUUCACAUUUGCUUUGUCACAACAUGGAGCUCUACCCAUUUUUUUUAAAUUUUCUUCCAAAAUACUUUUUUUUUUUUUGGUUAACUCUUGAAGUACUUGUGAUUAUUUUUGGUUUGAAAUUUUUUGGGAAGAGAAGACUUAGUUUUAUAGGUAGAAAAAAGAGUGGAUGAUGUCAUGAUACUUUUGAAAAAACAAAAAAGUCUUCUCAUUUCUCUAGGGUUUUAUCUGUAAUUUUUGGAUUAGCUACUACUAAAUAAUUUUUUUAUUAAUAACAUGACAAAGUACUAUUGCAAACUUCUAGCAAAUUAUAAUAUUAAAUUUGUGUAUAGCUUUUUUGAUUAUAUGUUAUUUUAUUAUGUGGAUGAAAUUCUACAACUAAAAUCAAGAAAGAAGGCUCCAUCCUCUUAGUUUGUCCCCAACGUUGCCCUAACAUUUUUAUAAUUUAAAUUAUCAGGAAAAGAUUGAGAAAUAUAUUUAAAGUUUGACGAAAUUUACUGUAACACGUCUUUGCAGAGGUCCUAUGACUCAUCUUGAUUAUUUAUUACCGUAUUUUUGUAACAUUUCAGACCUUUAUGCGCUCAGUGUUCGUGUAUUUAUGCAGUGGUCCAGUUGGGCAAACAUAUGCUACAGAAAUACGUUAAUAAAUAGCUGAGGGAGGGUCAUAUAGGACCCCUGCAAAGUAUAGGCACGUUACAACACAUUUCGCCAAAGUUUAGAUAUAUUUCGAAACUUGAAUAAUAUCGUUUGGCGUACUGUCAGAUCCAUCAAAAGUAAUGACUUUUUAUUGAGGAUCCGAUACGAGCAUUGUUGAAGAGUAUGAAUAAUAACAUUGCUGAAGAGCAUGACUUUUUAAUGAGGGAUAAGCGUAUUAUUCUUUAAGAUAGUGGUUCGAUGAACUGAAUUGAGAGAUGUAAGAAGUCAAGAACGCGAUCAUAUGUUAUAAGAAUAAAGAGAAGUCCAAAGCAUAAAAUGAGGUGUAACAAAGUUUAAUAUCGUGCGAAAGAAUCUGAGCAUUCAACCUGAAACCUUAAGACUACGAGUGAAAAGAUAUUGGAUAUUAAUUAUAAAACCCUAUAAUAAAUCGAUAAGCUCAUGGUUCAAUUUUUGAGUAAAAGAAUUUUAAUUUUUAGAAAGUGAUAAAAAAAAUUACAUACACAAUAAAUAAAAAAGUGAAAUAAAUUGAGACAUAUUUAUGUGUUUUUUCUUUUUAAAUGUAUUCAAAGAGACAUAUUUAUGUGGGUAAACUAUUUGGCCUCCAACUUGAUAGGCAUUUUAUGUCAGCCAACUUGCAUAUAUUGACAAUUUAUUCAUAGUAGUUCAUUUUAGUGGAACCAGAUUAAGUUCUAAGCAAGUUUUUUUUUAAAAAAAAAGAAUGGAAAAUAUAUUAAUAGUUAAUAUGCAUCAGUAAAAAAUAUUUAGGGUCACGCGAUGAACUAAUUACUAUCUAUUAUUACUUCGUUUGCCUUGUAUUUUGCUAUUUUUUAAUCAUAUUUUCUUGUUAUCGCGCUUCGAAUUCUUUUCUUUUUUGUUGAAUCGAGGACCGUCUAUCAAAAACAGUUCCCGACCCCACAAAGUUAGAAGUAAAAGUGUAUGUUCUAUCCUCUGCAGUGUAAUUCCACAUGGCCGGGUGGGAAGAGUCUGAAGAAGUCAUAUUGAAAAUAAUGAGGAAAAAAAAGAUCAAUAGCAAUAACAAAUAAUAUGAUAAUCGAAACAAUAACUAGCUGGAAUAACUGCAUUACGAGACGAAACUAUACAUAAUUAAAUCAUAUUUGGUAAAAAAAAAAGUCAUUUUUACCCGUAAGAAUGAUCGAGUUGGUGCCAGGGCGGCGGACCUAAGAACAAUCUUGGGGUGCUCUGGCACCCGUUAAUAUUGACAAAGAUUAGGUAUAAUUGUAUAAAAAUUAGUAUAAGACUUUAAAAAAAAAAACACCCAGUAAACCAUGAGGAUAGAUGGGUGCUUCAGGUUUCAAGCGGAACUUUAAAGAUUUGACGUCAAUAUGUGUCUUCGGACCUCCCGAGCACCCACGACCUCUAAAUCCUGGGUCCGCCACCAGAUUUGAUGCAGCAGGUGGUAUCCGACGAGGUCAGAAAUCGAUUCCCUCUAUGUUGGGUACAUCACACCAAAUUUGUCUAGCGCGGUUUCAUCUUUUAUUUGAUUUACUAACUAUUACGCAGAAGCGAAUUUACCUAGUGCAAAGAAUAGCGACUAUGAAUUUUCAUGAAUUUAAAAAAAAAUCCUUUUCUAUUUUGCCCCGUCAUAAACGCACCUUAAAGUCUUCUCUAAUUCAAUAAAUUAAUAACAUCUUAUUAUAUUUAUCAACUAAUUAAGUCGUUGAUAACGGCAUUAAGUAUAAUUUACAUAAAUAAUUAGUUGCUUUUAGACACCCUAUUUGAAACAACUUGGCUAGGGUUUCAAUUAAGAUCAACAGCAUGGAAAUAUCUCUUAUAAAUAUAUUAAAAGUUAUAUGUACAUGAUAAUAUAUAAUAAAAUAUUUUUUUAUCUAUUGGUGUAAUUUAACCUGUUAUAACCUAUUUCCGACAUACCUCCUUUGAAAAAUUUCCAUAACAAUCUCCUAUUUUCGACAUACUUCCUCGAAAAAUAUCGAGAUAAGCAUCCAGUACCUCUCGAUCUAUGAGCAAAGUUUCUACGACACACCCCAACUUCACAGGGGUCCUAUUACCCACCCAUCCACCCCCCUCGAACUCAAUUUUAGCGUAUUUUGGUCACCCUUUUGCGCUGAUGUGGCACCUUUAUUACAUAAAAUGGAGCCCUCAUCAAAUGUCUCAUGUCAGCUAAAAAGGUUGACAAAAGGUGCCACGUCAGCUAAAAAGGUUGACAAAAUACGUUAAAAUUUAGUUCAGGAGUAAUAAAAUCCCCGUAAAGUUAGAGUGUGUCGUAACAAAUUUGAUCAUAAUUCAAUAGGUACUAGAUGCUUUACUCAAAAAUAUCCAUCAAAAAUUUGCGUAUUUUUAAUAGUAGUUGUACGUAUAAAUUUUUUAUAUCGUCGAUGAAUAAAACUUUUAACUCUUAAAACAGAAACGUAAGAAAACAAACAAAUGAAAAAUAUUUAAAAGAAAAUAAAAGUAUUCAUUGACCUUGGUCCCUCUACUAUGUAUAUUAUAUUAGUAUGUCAUAAAAACAUUUGUUUUGUUUAUUAAAAAAAGAUUAUUAAAAGGACAAAGAGGUCCAAAGAACCUCACUUGCAUGUAAAUAACAAGAAGAAAACUAACAAAAUUCAAAAGGUGUAUUAAUUAAUUAAUUAAUUAAUUAAUAAGCAAAUUGAGUCAGAUCUUUAGGAAGAAGAAAACAUGUUUCUGUUUGUCUUUCUCUAUAAAUAAGAAUAUCUCCCUCUCUCUCCAUUGACACUAAACAUUAAUUAAUUUUCAUAAUUCAUCAUUAGUACACUUGGCUUAUAAAAUAUAUUAUUUUAAAAAAUUAUAUUUAUGAAAAGAUAAGUUUGGUUCUCUGUUGGCUAAAUAUAUAUACACACCAAAUUAGUAUAAUGUUGUACCAUUGGUGCUAGCUUAAUUGAACUUUACUUUAUGUACCUAAAUUAAUUAGGAUAUUUGUAUAAAUAAUAAAUAAUAAAUAAUCGGUCGAAUUCACUGUUUACUUUUUCUAGUAAUUAUAUAUAGAUUAUUAUACAAGAUUAUACGUAUAUUGUACACUAAUUUACAUUGAUUAUACAUCCUCCGACUAUUUUUAAUUUGUGAUUGGAUGGUCGACUAUUUAGGUUAAUUGUUCAAAUUUUUAUUGCUAUUUUUGUCCCAAUUUAUAUAGUGAUAUGUUUGAUUGAGCAUCCAGUUUAAGAAGAAAAAAAACUUUCAAAGUCUUGUGAUUUAAAACUAGUCAUAAAUAUUUUUUGUGACAGUAAAUAAUCUCACUAAGAGUAAAAUGAAAGUUCAAAGUUAUUUUUUUCUAAACAAGGAAAGUAUGGAAUGAUUUUUUUUUGGGUCCCGGUCUUUUCUUGGAUCCUAUGCAUAAUGAAAGUUUUAGUGCAUUGGACAGUUCAUCAAAAAAGUAUUAACAUAAAUUUUUUUUUUAGACCUUGGUAGUGGGCAUAAAUCCCGACAGUUUGGAGCUUAAUUACAGAAAAUUCUGAUAUUUUACAUAAUUACUAAAAAAAAUUGUUUUUUGGUCUGUCAAGAUACAUAAUGAGCUCCCGAUACAUUAAAUAAAGAUACAAUUUUUUCCUCUGUAAAGAUACAUAAUUAGCUUUCGAUACAUUUUUUUCGAUUUUGGGUCUAUCGAGAUACAUAAUUAGCUCCCGAUACGCCCAACGAAGAUACAUAAUUAGUUGAAAUUUUUGUAAUUACUUUAUAAGGAUGGAAAUUUGUGUAAGUAUGAUAAAGUUAAGGUGUACCUAUGGUGACAAAUACAAAAGAAAUGAAGAAAAAAAUAUUAUAUUAUCAAUAUAGCUUGGUAUUAUUGAUAAUAUAAGAAGAUAAGUAUAUGGUUCUAAACACCAAAAAUAAUAAUGUUGUAUUAUUGAUGUUAACUUAAAUUGACUUUACUUUAUGCAACCUAAAUUAAUACCUUUUUGGCCUACCAAAACAACCCCAUAAUAUUUUUUUUUGUUCCUAAUUAAUUUCUCAUAUAGUACAAGUGAUGAGAUAGAUUAGUUUUUUAAAGCUAAGUAUGUGUCUUUUGACUUAUGGAAUCUCAAUUAUCAUAAGUUAUAUAGGCUUAAAAGAUAUAGUUUUUAUUAAUUUUGUGAAAGAAAAUUGGAAAAAAAAAAUCUUAAUAUGAAUCUACAAAUAGUGUAGAAUAAGAGGGUUAGUAGAAAACCAUUUUUUUAAUUUUAAAAAAAAAUUCUUUUGAUGUAUUUUUGGAUGUGGUAAACUAGAUAGUGAGUUCAAAAUAAUUAAUUUUCACCUUUAGGGGUUGUUUGGUUGGGAACAAGUUAUUCUGAAUUAAUUAUUCGGGAAUAAGUUAUUCCAUCAUGUAUAUGGAUAAUUUAUUCCAUCAAUAUGGUAUAAAUGAUGGGAUAAAUAAUCCUGGGACUACCUAAUACCUCCAAUCAAAUUAAGGAUAAAAUAAUAUUAUAUUUUAUCUUAGGAUUAUUAUAGCUUAUAUCUCACACCAAACGACCCCUUAGUAUUUUAGUAUUUUAGGUAACUUAUUACACUCUAAACGUCUAUUAGUAUUUUAGUAUUUUAGGUAACUUAUUACACUCUAAACGUCUAUUAGUAUUUUAGUAUUUUAGGUAACUUAUUACACUCUAAACGUCUAUUAGUAUUUUAGUAUUUUAGGUAACUUAUUACACUCUAAACGUCUAUGUAAAAUGAUUCAAACCAACAAGGAGUAUUUUUUGUUGAUCGUAGGCGAAUUCAGGAUAUAAAAUUACGAUUCAAAAUUUAAUAUUUUAAAAUUAGUUGGUUAAUUUAAACACGUUAAACAAAUUCUCUAGACAAUUAUACAAAAUCCAGACAAAAUUAUUGAAUUUUGCAGAAUCUUAGUGUAGCUAGCGUUAUUAGUAAGUCUUAUAUUCUUAACCACUUAAUGUUCAUAUUAUAAAGUAUAUUAUGACUAUUAUUUCAAGUUAUAUAUAUAACUAAAUUAUGGUACUAUGAUCCACCUAGACAAAGAAUUAAUGAAAAAGACAUUAGGGAAUUUAAGGGAAAUUAAUUUAUAUAACUAUUAUAAGGUAUUAUAUGACCUAGGAACAAAAAAAAGAAAUUUAUAUGACCUCUCUAAUUACAAUAGGGUUGACAAAUAUGUCCUAAUAUAUGGACUCUUGAUACAUAUAAAAUUUUAAAAUAAUUUAAUUUUCUAUACAAUCUAUAACCAAAUAUUCUUUGAAGGAGACCUUUAAUGACUUUUGUUUUUCUUCAACAAUAAUUAAUCUUCACAAAUAAAUUAAUACAAGGGUUGUUAUCACCUCAUGCACUUUUUGUAGGAUAAUACUAUAAUAAUAGAAUUUGACAAAUAUAAAAAAUAGUUUUGCAUAUUCUAAGCGGUAAAGUUGUUGUCACGUGAUCUGAAGGUCAUCAGUUCAAGUCAUGGAAACAGUCUUUGACAACAGAAAUGCAAGUUCAGGUCGCUUAUACUAAACCCUAGCUAGUGGUUGGAUCCUUUUUCGGACUCUGCACAUAGCGAAAAUUUUAGUGUAUCGAACAAAAAUAGCUUUGCAUAUAUAUUCUAAUCGGUAAAGUUGUUGCCACGUGAUCUGAAGGUCAUCAGUUCAAGCCAUGAACACAAUCUCCGAAGAUAGAAAUGCAAGUUCAGGCCGCUUAUACUCAACCCUAGUGGUUCGAUCCUUUUUCGGACUCUGCACAUAGCGAAAAAUAGAUUUGCAUAUUCUAAUCGAUAAAGUUUUUUCCACGUGAUCUGAAGGUCAUCGGUUCAAUCCAUGAACACAGUCUCCGACGAUAGAAAUGCAAGUUCAGGCCGCUUAUACUAAACCCUAGUGGUUCGAUCCUUUUUCGGACUCUGCACAUAACGAAAAAUAGCUUUGCAUAUUCUAAUCAGUAAAAUUGUUGCCGCGUGAUCUGAAGGUCAUCGGUUCAAGUCAUGAACACAGUCUCCGACGAUAGAGAUGCAAGUUCAGGCCACUUAUACUAAACCCUAGUGGUUCGAUCCUUUUCCAGACUCUGCACAUAACAAAAAUUUUAAUGUAUUAAACAGAUUUUUUUUUUUUUAGCUCAACAUAAUUUGAGAAUUCCUAAUCCCUAAAUUUUUUAAACUUAUAUGUACCAUUGUCAACCCCUCAUUUUAACAAACCCAUAAUGAAUUAUAUCACAAAAUGAGGCAUCCAAGAAAAUUGACUUGGCCUUAUCUCUUUGAUGACUUUACAAUUAAGUUACCAUGCACUUGCAUUAUUAUUUUUUUUUUUUAACUAUUUAAUAUUUGAAAUUUACUGACUUAAUUAAUUCAAAUUUGAGUCGAGUAUAACACAUUUAAGGAAAACAUAAAUGUUGGGUUUUCGUCCUUUCAAUGAGUUGAUCUUUAAUUUUUACUCUUUAACAAUUAAAAUUCUCCGGUGAGACAUGAGUUCUUUAGAAACUGAAGAGAUAUUUGUUAACUUGUUGAAUAUUAUGAUAUAAAAAUAUAAAUUUAUGCCUUGCGAAAAAAUUAUUCUAAGUAAAUGACCCCUUUAACUAGUUUCCCAACUCCAUUAGUUCUUUUUUUUUUUUAAACUAUUUUACUCUAAAUAAUUUUUUUUUACUUGACAUAUGGCAAGUCAAAAUGGUACUUACAAAGAAUUUGACUUUUUAUUGAAAAAGUACAAUGCCGUGUAUUAGGUACAAAAUUAAUAUAUAUAAUUUGUAGUUUAAUUUAUAUUUUCUAGAAAGAUCAUAAAUAGCAUUUGAUGAUGAUGUAAGGGAAUUUGACCUUUGUUUUUAACUAUUUACUACAAUUUUUUUUUUUGUUUAACUAACUAAAGGUCCCAUGCAAAAUAUCAAGAAACUACAAUGCAAAUAUCAAGAAACUACAUAUAAUAAUAAUAAUAAUAUACACACCACCGUUGUGGAUAGGAUGGGUUGCUCAGUUCGUUUUAAAAAGGAUGACCUAUUUUGAUUUUGUACGGAAUUUAAUAAAAAAAUAAAAAAGACUAUUGAAAUUUGUGAUCUCAAAUUAAAGUUAUGAAAAAUAUACCGAAUGUCGUUUAAUCUUCUGAUUUUAAAUAUGCCACAUAAAAAGUUGAAAUUUAAAUUGUUGUCAACAAAAGAAAGGGUCAUUCUUUUCGAAACGAAAGUAAAUCAUUUUUUUUUUUAAAACGAAGAGUGUGUAUGUGCACUAUGACUAUAUUUCAGAGAUAGACGAAAAUGAUUUAUUUAAACUCUCGAUCGAUUUAAGAAAAAAAAAAAAUUCAAAGUAAUUGGGGAAAAAAAUAACAAAAGUGGAAAAUCAUUGAUAAAAUUAUAAAAAAAAAACAUGAACAAAAUAUCAGGAAACUAUGGCAACAUUAACAUACACAUACACAGUGUAAUCUCACACGUGAAAUUUGAAAAGGAUACUAAGUACGUAAAUCUUAUCACUAUCUCNNNNNNNNNNNNNNNNNAAAGAGUGUUUCGAAUAAAUCCUUUGUUCAAGAAAAAACAUUUCAUAGAAGAUCGGGAAAAAAAAAUAACGAAUGUGAAAAAAUCACGUAAACAUGAUAAACAAAGGGAAAAAAGUCUGAAAUAUACCUAAAUUUUGGCAAAAUUUGUUGUAAUACGUCUCAAUUUUGCGGGGAUCCUAUGACCUCCUAGACCAUUUGUUACCGUAUUUCUGUGGCAUAUAUUUGCUUAGCUGGACCACUUCAGACCCUCACGCACUCAGCGUGUGUGUAUUCACGUAGUGGUCCAGCUGACAAAUAUAUGUCACAGAUAUAUAGUAAAAAAUUAUCUUGGGGGGUUAGAAAAUCCCCGUAAAAUUGAGACGUAUUACAACAGAUUUCGCCAAAAUUUAGAUAUAUUUCGAACGAUUAAAAUGUCAAGAAAUAAGUCAAAUAAAAUUUUAUAGGAAAAAGGGGAAAGAAAAAGAGAAUUAAGUCAACUAGGUGUUUAUACAAACACUAACUUGUCUAAUUAGGUUGGUUUGGUAGAUUGAGACAAGAAUAUAUUAAUUUUUUUUGUGUAUAUUUUUUUUAUAAAAUAUCAUAAAGUUCGUACAAAUUAAGUGUUGUUAAAAACUUUAUGUUUAGUUUCAUGCAUCUAUUUUUAGGUUAGAUAAAGGGAUUAUAUAUCCUUAAACAGCUAAACAAAAGGAGAAAAAAAAAAAAGAAAAAAAGAUAGUAUAAAAGAAUAUAUUAUUAGUGUCCGAUUUUAGUAAGAGCGCAACAUGUGAUAUGUUCGGAUGUAUCGUAUCCGAAAGUUUGGUAUUUGGAUGAAGAAGAAUAGAGGCAGAUUCAUUAUUCAUCGAGUUUCAAAUCAUGUGAUACUAAAGAAGAGCGAUUUUCGGUAAGUCAAAAGUCAAAAGUCAAAGAUCAAAGGUAUAACAAAGGUAUAAUAUACGAAAGAGAUUCGCUUCAAUGCGUUUUUAUAUGGCUCCCUAAGGCCUAAGUUAUCAUAGCAUCGGGUGUGUAUCUGAUCCUUCAGAUUUAUCACGCGACAAAUACAAAGCAUGAUAUACAAAAGAGAUUCACUUCAAUCCAACAUCAUAAAUUUGAUGUUAUAUAAAAUCAUAAUAAAGAAAAAUUAAUUUUAUUCAGUACUAAAAAUUUAUAAAAGAACAAGUAACACAAUUAAAACUUAGUAAGAAUUAGACAGAUUGAGUUACACCCCGCUACCUAACCCAUUUUGAUCCAAACAAAUUUGGGUCGGAUCGGGUCUCGACUCGCUUUUUAUCUUGACCUGUUUUAACCCGUCCAAAUUUAACCCAACCCACCCAAUUAAGCAGAAAAAUACCGUAUGGCUUUAUAAAUUAACAUAGCAUCGGGUGCAUGUCUGAUCCUUCGGAUUUAUAACGCAACAAAUACAAAGCAUAAUAUACGAAAGAGAUUCACUUCAAUGCAUUUUCGUAUGGCUCCCUAAGUUAUCAUAGCAUUGGGUGCGUAUCCGAUCCUUCAGAUUUAUCGCGCGCGACAAAUUCAAAGCAUGAUAUACGAAAGAGAUUCGUUUCAAUGCAACAUCGAAAAUUUGAUAUGUUAUAUAAAAUCAUAAUAAAGAAAAUAAUUUUAUUCGAUACUAAAUAUUUAUAAAAGAACAAAUAAAGCAAUUAAAACUUAGUAAGAAUUGAACAGAUCGAGUCAGAACCAAUUUUGACACAAACAAAUCUGGGUCGAGCGGAAUCUCGACUUGUUUGUUAUCUUGACUCGUUUUAAUCCGUCCGAAUUUGAUCCAACCCGCCCAAGAAAUAUUGUAUGGCCCCAUAAAUUAUCACAGCAUCGGGUGCAUGUCAGAUCCUUCAGAUUUACGGCGCUACAAAUACGAAGCAUGAUAUACAAAAGAUAUUCACUUCAAUGCACCAACAUAGUAAAAUAUAAUUAUAUAACCAUAACAUAUAACAUGUUACUAUAUCAUGUUAAUUUUACUGAUGGAAAGUAUAUGAAAAUUUGUGUAAUACAACUAAAUUUUGUGCUUCCUUCACUGGAAAGUGGUUAAUUUACCAGAUGUUAAUGUCAUACAGAUAUUUGUCAUUGAUCUAUUUACACUGGCUUUUUACCAGUUCCAACAGAUAUCUGUAACACGAAAAUCGGCACCUGAACGAACUGCAAUAGCAGCAGCAGCAUAGCGUGAACAUAUACCGACCUUCAGAAAGUCGAAACGCCUGCCAAACCUGAUGACUUCCUGGUUGACGAAGAUGCAUAAAAUUCGGCUUCAAGAUCACAGUAACGUCCAGUUACAAUGACUUCAUAAUAUUAAUAGGCAUAUGAAGUCGAUGGACGAGAAAACAUAUAUAUAAGAAUGUUUAUUAUAGUUGGCGCCACGCAUGCAUCUUGGGAGGGGAAUGAUAUAACUUGGAAGUGAAACAUGGGCUACCAUUUAUUUUUCAUCAUUAUCGGUCAACAUGUAAACGGCUGUCUUGGGAGGAGCGAGUAUGGUUAACUCCUGAAACAGCAUCAUUUGACAUUCAUUGCCGCUGCCAUAGUUCUCAGUCUCUGAGAGAUUUCGGAGAAUGUUGGUCUAUCUGCAGGAUCAGGGCCCCAACAACUCUCCAUCAGCGCUUUCCAUUCGGGAUCACACCAUGUUGGAAUUUGAGGACGCAGCGUAUUGUUAACAAUUCCUCCUAUAUAUCAUAAAAAAACAUGAGUAAUCAUCCGGCCUCAAGUAGUAUGAACGAUUUAAACGUGUUCAGAUUGAUUGAGCUGAUUCUUUUACGUAACUGAUACAACCAAUAUAUAGUAGGUCAACCCAUGUGAUUUAAAAAAAUGGGCUCACCCCAAAAUUAGCUCAUGAGGGGAGGAACCAAAGAUCAUAUAACGACUAUCCAGCUGCCUUUUGGGACAGUAGCGUAACAUUAUGAUAGUGUCGUCUUGCCUUCCUUCCUUGUAGUCGUAGUAUUAGUUUCUUAUCCUUCUAUUUCUGUUAAUAUCUACUAUAUAUAGUAAUUCAAUUACCGCACUAUUUUGUUGUAGUUAUUGCUCCUUUUUGUCAAAAUGAUUUAUCAUGCUCUCCUUAGUAUCUGCUUUGAUAUGCUUUACCUUGAGCCGAGGGUCUAUCUGAAACAGUCUCUCUACCUCCCAAGGUAGGGGUAAGAUUUGCGUACACUCUAACCUCCCCAGACCCCACUUAUGGGAUUACAUUGGGUAUGUUGGUGGUGGUGGUGGUGAUUCCAUGUGGUACCUUGACGGUGAUGUUGGCUUAUAUUAGACGUCUGAGCAGGUGAGUACUCCCAUUUGGCGGGCGAACUAGACUGCAACGAAGAAAUUGCACCAGACCAACCUUUCACAGCUAGUGGCAAUAGGCAUUUGAGUUAUUUAUUAUUUAAUGGUACUUAGUUAAUUAUAUUGCAGUCUGCUCAUGCAUGACCCAUAAACGCGAGAAAGUUUUUUUUUUUUUUUUUGAUAAUUGUGGUGUCUAGGCCAGCUUGAGCGCACCUCGACUAAUUCCACGAGAUACCUGUCACCUCUCACCAGCAACAAGAAGAAGUACCAGGAUGCUAGGAUAGAUGGAAAGACAUCACCUAGUGUUUUUGGUCUCCGCUAAGAUUCAAACCUGAGACCUCAUGGUUCUGACCCACUUCAUUGACCACUAGGCAACACCCUUGGGUGCAAACAUGAAUUAAGUUUUUAACGAUUAAUGUUGCAAUAUUAAUAUGUGGGGCCAGUAAAAAUCUAGCCAACAUGUUAAAACUCACCCAUAACAUUAGUCAUUUUCUCCAUCUCGCAGAUUUAGAAAGUAAUGCUAACUAUCUUUUACUGAAAGAAGCAAAUAGAAAUAGAAACUAAGCAAGCAGCCACAAAACGUGCAAGUAGGAUUCAGGCAUCAAUCAAUCAAGCAGUUUGAGCAUACUCAUAAAACCUAAGUUGCUCGGACUCUCCAAAAAUGUUGCCGCACCCGUGUCGGAUCCUUCAAAAAUACACUAGUUUUGGAGGAUCCGACAUGCACCCAUAGACAUAUUUGAAGAGUCCGAGUAACUUAGCACAAAACAACCUGCUAUACUUCUGAACUGUUUAAUUCUCGCUUAUACUUCCAUACUGGUAGUCGUAGUAUUACUCAGGGAGUUUCUUGUUAUUCCAUUUUUGUUACUAUUUAAUGUUUCUUGCACUUCGAUUAUCAUAUCUUUUUGUUGCGACUGUUCCUGUUUUAGUAUGCUUUGUCUUGGCUUUCUUUACUCUUGCUGUUUUCAAUUUUCGAACUGCUUUGUAAUGCUUUUACUUGAGAGCCAAGGGUCUACAGGAAACAGUCAUCUCUACAUCCCAAGGUAGGGAUAAGGUUUGCCGUUUGCAUACACACUACCCUCCCCCCAGACCCUAUUUGUGGGAUUAACGGAGCAUGUUGUUGUUGUCUAAUUCUUUGUUAGUUUCUUUAUGGUGGUUCUCCGAAAGUGUGUUUUACGGGAAAUCUCAAGCUGAUACAAGCAAGUAGAGGAGAUUGAUUUUUCUGGCAAACAAAGUGAAAGAAAACAUGUACUACGAAUGGGCACGUACCUAUUAUUGAAGCACAAUGCAUAUCUGAAUAUGGUUCAUCACCGGUGAGCAACUCCCACAUAACAAUUCCAAAAGAAUAUACAUCAAUCUGCAUGGAAGAAAAAUAUAAACAUCAGUUCAUAAAAGAGCGCAUGCGAAAAGAUAAGUUCCACUUCUAAAGAGAAGACAUUACCUUCUCCGUCACCUUAGUUUUUCCACUUAGGAGCUCUGGUGCCAUCCAGGGUAAAGUGCCACGAACACCUCCUGAGACUAAGGUGUGUUGUUUCACCUUUGAUAAACCAAGAUCACCAAUCUAAAGGUAAGGCAACAUAGCGUCAGUCGCUACAGAUACCCAAUAUAGUAUGAGAGCUACAGCUUUUCUGAGCUCACAUCUAAAUACCUUUUUAGCUUCAGAUGAUACUGAAAUAUCUAAACAACCAGGCUGUGGCGCUCGAGAAUAUUGCCUAUCAAAUAAAAGUAUGUAUCCAAGGAACAUGAGCAUUCACCAUACCUUGCAGACGGGUCGAUGUGGAUCCCGCAUAUUUACCAACAGAUUUUCACAUUUUAGAUCAAAGUGAACAAUGUUUUUCCCAUGUAGAUACUCCAUACCAAAAGCAGUAUCCAUGGCAAUAAUAAGCCUUUUACGACGAUCAAUAGUCCUGUUCAAUAUAUAUUUUAUCAAAGAUCUGUUUGGGAUUUGGACAAAAUAUAGAAAUACUGAUAAUGUUCUUUAAAAUAACAGAACUAGGAAAACAGUGAAAUCCAACUCAGACAGAUACGUUCUAGAUAUCUGAAAAGCAAAAUGUACCUGUCCUUUUUCUGUAAAAACUGUUUCAAUGAUCCAUUGACCAUGAAUUCUGUAACAGUUGCUAAAGAUCCAUCUGGGCCAUCACGAACUACACCGUAAAAAGAAACAACAUUUGGAUGGUGCAGUGAACUCAAUGUUAGAGCUUCCCUCCAGAAAUCUGCAAUCUAAUGAACAGAAGAGGACAUUAAGAUCAUCUCCAAAAUAUAUACAAAUUCUGGAGAAUAAAGACAAUGAAACAACGAGGUGCUAUAAGCAAGGUGUGGCUUCAAAUUAAUUUUCACCACCAGAACUCAGGUUAUAAGUAGAAGUGGCAAUACAAAUGUUUGAGCAACACUUGGACAAUGUCAUUUGUGUCCCUCUUUUCAAAUUCAUCCUCUUACUUUCUUCCUAAUUUGGAUAGGAAAUGCCUAUAGUAGUGUUUCAAAACUUCUAAUUAGAAGGUGUACAGAUGAAAACUGGCUUACUGAUGAUAUCUACCUAGUACUAGGACACACUAAGAACAGCGAGAAAGUAAGAUGAGUGCAAAGGCAUCUGACACGAAAGCCCUACUUUCCGGUUAACAAUUACUAAAACGGCUUAUUCUUCCUCAUCUUUAUUUAGGAUAAAGAUGGAGCUUUAUGUUUUUUGUAGACAUCCAAAAUAAAUAUAAUAUGAAAGAGCGAUCUAAAAUAUUACGACUACUUGGUAGCUUCUGAGAAUCCUACAGCCCUUUUCGGCUGUGCCACCCGGAAACAAGUGCAAUAUCGAGUGCAACAACUGUAUUCCACAAAUGUAAUAUCAUGAACAGGUAAGUUAAGCAUGAUUGUUCGUUAGCCUUGGUACAAUGUAACCAUAUCAUGAUGGUUGAGAUUCUUUAAUUCUUACGAAGACCACUUUCUAUCUGUUAAUAAAACUCGCAGACAGAAUAUCUCCAAUAAGAGACAUCUUGUGUUAGAUUUCAUAGUAACAAUUGCAUGAUCUGAAGGCAGAAGAGGAAACAAUAUCAGAAACAAGAGGAAAUUCCUUGUAAGGUCCUACAACUGUAGCAAAAGGACAUACUUUUGCCUUCCGAAUGAGAGGUGCUGACGAAUGCACUGGAUAUUAAAAUUCAUUAUGGUUACAUCUAGAAUCUCCUUAGAGAUCUUUAUCAAGCAGAAAUUUAAUUGAAAAGUUCCAUCAAGUUGAUCUGACUUUAAGAAUUGGAUAUUGAAAAGGUAUCACACUGAAAAUUUUCUUCACAAACCAAACAGAGAGAUGCGCCGGUACCCACCAUGCUUACAGAAUACAGACCAAGAAUUUUGAGAGAAAAAAUGUGUAUAUUAACGACAUACCAGACGUUCCCUAUCAGAUGGCCUACCAGCAAAGCAGCUGGCUUUGAUUCUCUUUAUAGCAACAUCUGACCCCUUCCACUUUCCAUGAAAAACUGAUCCAUAUGUUCCAGAACCCAACUCCCGAAUCUCCUCGAGAUCUUCAUUCUUUAUUGUCUGUACCAAAGCAACAUGCAUAUAGUUUUAUUCUAAUAAGAAGUAUGAAACAAACAAAAUAUUCAUUAAAAAUAAACAGAACAUAAAACAAAUAAAUGCAGAAGGUUUUCCCAACAAGCUCCUCAGAAAAAUCUAAGAAGAAGAAAGAAAAGAAGCAACUAACACGACACAUGAUUUAUCUAGAAAACGUUUUCCUCAUAAUCCGAAUAGAAGAAUCACAGUUGGAAUGUGAAUUAAAGUGUUCUAGACCAGUGGGGGAAGGGGAGACAAAACGAAGUGAUUUUAAGAACCUGCAAUCCCUUCUCGAUAGCUUCUUCCUCGGCCUUUGUUGGCUCAAUCUUGGAAUUAUUAACAUUGUCAUUGUCUGAAUCAAAUUCCACGCCCCCUUGGCCAUCCUGUAAAUCAACAAAUUGUAUUACAUAUAGAAUAACACCUUUUUAAAACAUAAAUGAUGCAAACUAAUAAUACUCACAGCUAACUCUGCAUCAUUCUCGUUCGCCACUUUAAUAGAGUCAUGCUCAUGAGCAGAAUCAGUGUUUUCUUGGACAUCAACUUUUACAUCCUUAACACUUUGUAAUGCUACCUUUUCUGCAGGAGGAAUCUCAUUAGAUAAGGAUGUCAGUUGAUCCUUUUGCGGCUUCUCAUUCUUAUGAGUUACACAAACAUCAAUAGUCUCAGUCUCUGCAGGAACACCUUCUUUUACAGCAUUUUCCAGGGAAAUGGACACAGGAGGUACAAGGUUGAGUCGAACGUUGUCCACUAAUGCUUCGGUCGGACUGCCGUUGCCUAUAUUAGAGCCUUCCACCAAGCCUGAAGAACAUAGCUGUUCCCCUUCCUGGUGAAAAGGACUCUCCUUCUCGCAUCUAUCAGCAGUUGAUCUUGUUCCAGACCUACCCAAUGAAGCUGGCCUGUCACCAAAGAACGGUCCUGAAUCAGAUUUCAACACCGGAUCCUCCAGAGUUGCAAAAGUCUGCAUGCCACCUGGGGCCUGAAUAGCUUCUGCAGUGUGCAUGGACUGAUUUCCCUGGUUGUGAGCAUUUGAGAUCGAGUUCUGGGAUGGCGCAAGAGAAUAUUCGGUCAUGGAAAAACCAUCAAAGCCCAUCUUUUUCUGUGAAGAAUCAAGCCAAGAAUUUUGGUUCUCCAUCCCAGAUUGCAACCUAGGACUAUUUUCCACUAUACCCCUGACAAACCCAGGACCAGCAGAACCAUUGACCAGCUGUGGUUGAUUAGCAACCUCGUAAGAAAGACCUCCAUGACUUGGGCUUUGAACAUUCCUCCACAAAGGAUGAGCAGGCAUAUUUGCUUGAGGAACCUGGUAUGAUGUAUCUGGUCCAUAAGCAUAAGAUGGAUUUCCGUAGCGAACUGCACGAUCUUCCAUAGAGGGAAGAUGAAUCUGAGAUCCCGUGCCUACCACCUGAUCAUGAUAUACUUGACUACCAAGAUCCCGUCCAGUUCGAAUGCGGCGAAGGUCAUCAUAAUUAAGACCUUGUCCCAGGACCUGAUGGCCAUCAAUCAAAUUGCUGCCAGCUCCAGACGCAAGGAUUUGAGGCUCCUCAACUCGAGUAUUUGUUUGAUGCUGCAAGCUCCAUCCUCUUUCAUGACUAUGAGUCUCACUCUGACGGCAGCGUGGAUCAUUUUGUUCCACAGGGUAAUAUGAGUGGUGCAAACUGGCAUCUGCAGGCACUGGGAAUAUCUCUCUUCUCGGUGGGCACUCCGCACAAGGGUUUGCAGCCUGGUGGAAUCCAUUUCCCAAAUCAAAUAGGGAAUGUUCUCCAGGCUUCCAAGAGGAAUCAGGAUGAGGCUGAUUGCGCUGGAAAGUCAUUCGGCAAUGCUCACAUAUACUGUUUCCCUCAAAUGCAUUAGCGCCCUGAAGGAUGUUUCCUGGGAAGCCAGCCUUGUCUAAUAUAGGUGUAUUCGGUAAUAGUAGUAUGUUAUCUGUAUAUUGAGGCUGGUGAUCAUAUACAGUUGGAUGAUUAACCGGAAGACGACCGUACUCUUCAUGCAUUCUAUCAAAAUUUCUCUCUUGGAACUCAGGGUAUGGUGAAUAGUACCGUGACGAAGAAGGAGAAUUUGGAAACUCUGACAAUGGACGUGGAUCGAGGUGUCCUGGCUGUCUAGGAGAAUAGUAUGCUGGACUCCAUGGGGCCUCCAUUUCAUUAUACCUCUGAUUAACUGAUUGAUGGGGCUGAGCUAUACCCAAAUGCGGUAUUGUAAGGUGACGCAAGUUCAUCUGAGGUAUAGGCACUUCGUUACUCCUCAAACUAUGGAGACUACCAUCAAGCGUCAUCUGACUAAAGCACUGUUCUGCAACGUGGAGAUCAUCUAAUGGACCCGUAACCUGAAAUUCAUUAUGCUGUCCCGUUCUGUAUUCUGGGGAUUCAUUAAGGCUAUUCAAAGCAUCCACGUACCUUCUCUCAUUAUCCCUCUCAUCCCCAUCAACAAAAAGCAAGGAUCCAUCUUGAUCAGCAUGCGAAAACAGGAAGAUCCUAAGCCUAGUAAAUCCAUCACCAGAACCCAACUUAUCAUAUUCCUCCAUCAUAUUUACCACAUCAUCGUCAUUCACUACUGAGACAAGAGCAUCAAGAUCCUCAUCAGGCUGCUGAUACUUCAAUACUGUUGCGCCCUCAAAUAUCUCCCUCAUUUUGGCCAUGAGUUCCUCAUAAGAAAUAUCACGCGGAACACACACUAUCCUUGUCUCACCACCCACAUGCCGAAGCUUGCCGUCCUGUGGCCUGGGCAAUAUACUUCCUGAGAAACUACACAAGAACUUAACACGUGGAGUGUCAUCGUUAGAACUAGAAACCGAGCCAGGGUUGGUCAUUGUCGGGCUAUCCAUAGAGUGUUGCAAAUCUUGCUACUCUCUCACCUAGCAGUCAGAAUCUGAACGUUUUGCGUUAGUAUCACAGCUCAUAAUACUCCAAAAAUAACACCUCAAAACUCCCAAAUCCUUUCCAACUCCAAAUUCAGCAACUUGAACAUUCAAGAACGUUGACAACGGUAUCCACCAAGAAUCAUCAAUGCCCUAGAAAUAUUCACCAAAUACUUUAAAUUCAAGAAUCUUAAUGUUCAAAAACACAACUAAAGUAUCUCGAUUUUUUGCAUUCAUAUCUGAACUAUCGGUUGCGCGAGUGUGCGAAUUUCCUACCUGAACUAUUACCAAAUGUUUAUCGAAACACACCUCAACCAUCCAUUGUUCCCUUUUCCUAUCUAAAAUAUCACCAUAGUUCAAGUAGGAAAAGAGCACAUUUGGUGAUGAGUUCAGAUAUUAAACUCGUACCUCAUACACCUGAUAGUUCAGAUAUGAAAAGCAAAAAACCGAUAUAGUUUACGUGUGUUUUUAACCCUUCACUCAUAAAAUAACAGUAACAUAAUUCAACAGCUAAAAUCACACCAAUUUUCAGCUCAAGUUAAUCCAACAACAUAUCAAAUACUACGCCAAUAAAUCAAAAAUCUACAAACCCUAUUCACCAAUACAACAAAAAUUACCACAACCCAAAAAAAAUAUCACAAAAUACUCCCUACAUAACUCAAAAAAUUCAUUCUCAAAACCCAUAAAAAUCCAAUCUUUCAGCUCAAACAAACCAAGAAAGCUCCAUAUAUUUGAACAAACAAUUCAAUAUCCUCACACCCAAUUAACUAAAUAAUUCAAAUAACCCAAAAUUAAGUAAAAUUACCUUAUAAACAAAAUGCCCUUCUUGAAUUCUGAUUUCAACCAAAGCCUCCACCUUUCCAAGAAUUUCCCAAUUCUUGAAAACCAAAAAAAAAAAAAAAAACACCAAGAUUCAAGCUUUCUUGUAUUAAAUCUCCUAAAAAAAAACCUCUAAAAAUCAAAUCUUUAAAAUCUCUAAAUACCCAAAUUCCAAAAAAAAAUAAAAAAAAAUUAACAAAUAAAAAAAGAAAACUAGUUAUUUGUCACCAUAAAAAGUUGUGUCAAAUUAAAAAAAAAAAGGCUUUGUGUGUGAAAUUUAAUUAGAGGAAUAUGAGAGAAGAUGAAGGUGCCAUGGCUGAGAUNNNNNNNNNNNNNNNNNNNNNNNNNGGGUGGGGUCGGCGUGGGGGUGGGGUGUUUGUAUGGGGGUGGGGUGAUGCCAGGUAGAGGGGACACUUGGCAAUAUAUGGUUAAAUGGAAUCAAGGCAUCAAAUUUAUGUGAUGAAAUAUUCUUGGGGAUAUCUCAUAUUAUUGUAAUUUGUAUGUGAUGAGGAAUAAACAUACACCAACCAUAGUUGUACUCACCAUAGUUCUCGAAUUCGAGCUCUGAACGUAAAAAUUUUCUUAUGGAUGAUUGUAUUUUUUUAGUAUCUUGAAUGGUUUUAUGAGUGAGUAAUUAGAUUAGUCGAAGCUUCAAUGUAAGUACUAUAUGAGAUAAGGAAUAAACAUGCCCGACUAUGGUUAUGGCGACGGAGACGAAAAGUGUCGGAUUCGAGCUUUGAACGUGAAAUUUUAUAUCUUAAAUGGUCUUACGGGUGAAUAAUUAGAUUAGUCGAAGUUUUGAUGUGAGUACUGUAUGAGAUGAGGGAUAAAUAUGACCAGCUAUGAUUAUGGCGGCGAGUAGUUUCGUGUUCGAGUUUUGAACUGGAAACUUUUCUUAUCGAUGACUAAUUUUUAUAUCGUAAAUGGUCUUACGGAUGAAUAUUAGAUUAGUCGAAGCUUCGAUGUGAGUAUUGUAUGAGAUGAGGAAUAAAUAUGACCGACUAUGAUUAUGGAGGCGAGAGGUUUUGGAUUUGAGCUUUUGAACGUGCACUUUUUCUUAUUGAUGACUGCUUUUUUGUAUCUUAAAUGGUUUUAUGGGUGAAUAAUUAGAUUAGACGAAGCUUCGAUGUAAAUAUUGUAUGAGAUGAGGAAUAAAUAUGACUGACUAUGAUUAUGGCGGCGAGACGUUUUGGAUUUGAGCUUUUGAACAUGCACUUUUUCUUAUCGAUGACUGCUUUUUUAUUGCUUAAAUGAUCGUACGGGUGAAUAAUUAGAUUAAUCAAAGCUUUGAUGUAAUUAAUGUAUGAGAUGAGGAUAAACAUGACUAACUACGGUAAUGGCGGCGAGAAGUUUCGGAUUCGACCUUUUGAACAUGCACUUUUUCUUUCCGGUGACUAUUUUUUAUAUCUUAAAUGGUCGUAUGGAUGAAUAAUUAAAUUAGUAGAAGCUUCGAUGUGAAUACUGUAUGAGAUAAGGAUUAAACAUUACCAGCUAUGGUUAUAGCAGCGAGAAUUUCGAGAUUCGAGCUUUGAACGUGAAUUUUUUUCUAAUUAAGGACCAUUCUUUUUUUUAUAUACUUUAAAUGGUCUUAUAGGUGAAUGAUUAGAUUAGUCGAAGCUUCGAGAUGUGAAUACUGUAUGAGAUGAGGAUAAACAUGACCAACUACGAUAAUGACGAUGAGAAGUUUCUGAUUCGAGCUUUGAACGUGAAAUCUUUUCUUAUUAAGGGCCAACUUUUUUUUUUAUACUUUAAAUGGUCUUACGAGUGAAGGAUUAGAUAACCAAAGCUUCGAUAUGAAUACUGUAUGAGACGGGGAAUAAACAUGACCAACUAUGGUUAUGGCGGCAAGAAGUUUCGAAUUUGAGCUUUUGAACGAAAAUUUUUUCUUAUCGGUCACUACUUUUUUAUAUCUUAAAUGGUUUUACGGGUGAAUGAUUAGAUUAGCCGAAGCUUCGAUGUGAAUACUAUAUGAGAUGAGGAUAAAUAUGACUAACUACGAUAAUGGCGGCGAGAAGUUUUGGAUUCGAGCUUUGAAUGUGAAAUUUUUCUUACCGAUGACCUUUUUUAUAUCUCAAAUGUUCGUACAGGUGAAUAAUUAGAUUAGUUGAAGCUUCUAUGUGAAUACUGUGUGAGAUAAGGAAUAAACAUUACCAGUUAUGCUUAUGGUGGAGAGAAUUUCGGGAUUCGAGUUUUGAACGUAAAAUUUUUUCUUAUUAAGGACCAUCUUUUUUUAAAAAAAAACUUUAAAUGAUCUUAUAGGUGAAUGAUUAGAUUAAUCGAAGCUUCGAUGUGAUGACGAAUAAACAUGAUCAACUAUGGCUAUGGCGGCAAGAAAUUUUGGAAUUCGAUCUUGAACGUGAAAUUUUUUCUUAUUAAGGACCAACUAUUUUUUUCUUACUUUAAAUGGUCUUGUGGGUGAAUGAUUAGAUUAGUCGAAGCUUCGAUGUGAAUACUGCGUGAGAUGACGUACAUGAUCAACUAUAGUUAUGGUGGUAAAAAUUUCGAGAUUCGAGCUUUGAACGUGAAACUUUUUUCUAUUACGGACCACCUUUUUUCUACUUUAAACGGUCUUAUAGGUGAAUGAUUAGAUUAAUCGAAACUUUAAUAUAACUAUCGAAUAUGAAAUGAAUGUUAAACAAGAAACUGAGACUCAAAUAUAAAUACUGAAUAUCAAAUAAAUAUCUGGCUCGAGCUUUUAGCAUAAAUUUUUUCCUUAUUGAGAAUACCUUUUUUCUUUAAUGGUUUUAUUACGCGAAUAACUAAAUUAGUUAAGGUUUUAAUAUGAAUAUCAAACGUAGACGAAUGUUAAAUAAGAAAUCAAGACUUCAAUAUGAAUAUUGAAUACAAAGUAAAAAUAAAUGCAUAAAAUGAAACUACGAAUUCACGUAAACUUACUACUUUUAUUUAUAUUUUUCAUAUGUAUUAAAUAUAUNNNNNNNNNNNNNNAAAAUUAAAAAUCUGAUUAUUAAAUUAUACUAUAUACUAUUAAAUAGCAAUUUUUAACCUUAAAAUCUUAGAUCCGUAUCUGAAUGCAAACUAAAGAAAAGGAAUAAACUUAUGUAGGCACCAUGGAUGGUCCAAAUUAAAUUUGAUGAAUAUUUUUUACUUUUUUGUUGGAUAAUAUUUUUUUUUAAGAAAGUACAAUCAAGAGUUGUUUCCAAUCUAGAUUUUUUUAUUUUUUUUUUUGAAAAAGCAAAAAGUGCUCCAAAAAAAAACAUUUAGCUUUCUUCUUUUUAGAGAUAUUUGCACUUUUAAAUUAUUCCUUUAAAUAUUAAUAAAAUUUAAAUUUUGAUCCUUAUAAUUUUUAAUUUGGUUAUGCAUAUAUUAUGAUGCAUAUGAUAAAAAACUGAUUGAUAAAGACAGCUCAAGCAAGAUUGUCAGGCUUUUUUAAUCGAUAAGUUUCUAAAAACAGGUUACGUAUGAUAUCUUAGGCGAAUCUCACGUUGAACUGAGAGAAGAAUGUGAAAAGCUCACAUUUUACGUGUGCUUUUGAGUGACGAUGUGAUAUUAUUUAAAAGAUAAAUUUGUACAAACUUAGACAAAAAUUCAAUAAUAAUGAAAUUUUUUAUGUAUAAUAUUAUGUAAGUGCCAAAUGCCAUACUUCAACUUUUAUGUGAUAUGUUUGUCAAAAGUGGUGCAAUUUGAUGCAUAAUUUUGAUACUUUAUGAUGUGUAUUUUGUGCUUUUGUGCCUAGCAUAUUAGAAUUAUAUGAUUCCUCUUGUUGGUCAUGAAUCAUAAUUUAUUUAUUUUUUAAUAUAAGUAUGGUGUUCAGAUAGUUUGUACGUACCUCAAUAGAUAUCAGAUAAUUUUAUUUAUCGAGACUAAAUCGAACAUAUGAGAAGAAAGAGUCAUAUGAAUUCUAAGUUCAAUCCAUCGUGUAGGUGGUCGAUAAAAAUAAUUAAUAAAUUUUAUUCUUUAUAUGAUAGUACUUUCUAGUCAACUUGUUAUUAUUCGUCAUAUGAGAUCAUUUCCUCCUAAGGUAUUUACUUUGUGUAUCGUGCAUUCGUUGCAAAAAAUUGAGCUUAGGGUAUGUAUAAAUAAUAAUAGGAUAUAUAUUUAAACAGCUGACAUAUUUAUGUGUGCAUGAUCGACUUUGACCUAAAGCCACUAAAGCUAACGCUCUAGGCCCCUAAAUUUUGAGGGCCCAUAGGUUGCAAUUCCGUAGAUUUUUUUUCAUGGAGGGACAAUUCUGACGCUAUCAUGUAUUUGGACAUCUUAAAAAAGUAUCUGAACGCCUUAACACGUAUUCGUGUGUAUCUAAAGGGCUACUCUUCUAAAAUGUAUACGCGGCUAUAAAAUGUAUCCUUGCCUUUUUAAUGAAAAAUUAUGUAAUAUUGGAAACUUAUGCAUGGGAGGAGGCGUAAAAAAAGGGAAGUCUGGUGCACUAAAGUCUCCGCUAUGCGCAGGGUUCGGGGAAGGGCCCCACCACAAGGGUGUGUUAUACGCAGUCUUAUCUUGCAUUUCUGCCAGAGGCUAUUUCCAAGGCUUGAACCUGUGACCUCGUGGUCAUAUGACAGCAACUUUACCGGUUACUCCAAGGUGCUCCCCUACAGGGACAACUCUGACACUAUCAACAAUUAAUAAAUCCUGAAUCCUCCUUCUAACGCUUAACCUUUUAUAGUAGAACUAAGGGGUCGUUUGGUUGAAAAAUAAAUAAUUCUGAAAUUAGCUAUCUCAAAAUUAAUUAUCCCACCCUCAAGGAGAAAUAAGAAAAACACAAACUAAAUCGUCAAUUGGAAAUUCAAGUUCUCUUUUUCUCAUAUCUGUAUAGGACAUUUGACGACUCUGAGCUAUUUUCAACUUUUCUCUAAUCAGUUGAAGGAGGGUGCGACCUUUAGUAGCAGUCCCUUGGUUCCAGAACUACUUAGCCAGCGUAUGUUAGAGAUAUCAACCUGCCAGUUGAGGGUUGAUAAAGUGUUUACCUGCCAGUUGAGCGUAACACAUAUCUCAUUAGAGCACCUGACAAAUGAGGGUGACUCAUUAGUUACUCGGGACAUUAGUUUAGUGGAUCCAUACAACCAUUGUUAGUACCCGUGGCACGGUACUGACAUCCUUCCAACUGGGAUUAUAGGUUGGACCCCACUUAGCUCUACAAUCCCGGGAUGAGUUAUCUCAUGCAUUUUGUCUCAACCAAAUAUGAAAUAAACUCCUCUUCUAAAUUAAUCCCGUGAUUAAUUAUUCUUAUCACUCCUACCAAACGACCCCUGAUUGGUAUAUUUUCAAAUUAGUCAAACUAGAAGUAGAUAAUAGAUGCUAUUAGGAAAAAAAUAUUAAAUGCAAUCUUCUCUUUAACAAGCAAAUCUGAUUAUGUAAAUCUAGAUAAGUCAAAACUUAAAAAUUACACUUGCAAUAUCAAUAAUCUAUUAUCUAUAUAUAUGUAUAUCCAUAAGAAGCACAAAAUCAUCAAAUCACAAAACAAUUAAUAAAUUAGUCAAAAAAAAAAAAUUAUGGCUAAAAAGAUUGAAAUUAUUCCAUUAAUGACAAUUAUGGUGAUGCUAAUUUUGAUUUCUCAUUCAAAAUUAGUGUAUUCUAUAUUGGAUGAAAAAUGUUUUAGGGAGUGUGUUAGAGCAUGCAAAGAUCAAAAACCUCAGUGUGAUUUAGUUUGUGCAAAAGUAUGUGAGGAUCCUGGUCUAAUUAAUUAUUCUAAUCUUGGUUGUUCAGUUAACAAAUGUGCAAGUUUAAUCCAAGGUAAAUUCUUUUUUCUAAUUUCUUGUAAGGUUUUUUCUACUUUGAUUAUAUAUUUUUCGAAUCGAGAGUCUAUCAGAAACAAGUUUGUUGUCCCAUAACGAUAGAAAUAAGGUCUGUCUGCAUUAUAUCAUUCCUAAACGCAGGGGCGGAAAUAUAUAAGGUCUGACUGCAUUAUAUCAUUCCUAAACGCAGGGGCAGAGCUACACUUGGGAUAGGGGGUUCAUCUGAAACUCCCUUCGAUGAAAAAUUAUACUAUAUAUACAUGGUUGAAAUUAUUUUUUAUGUAUAUAUAGUAGAUGUCGAACCCCCUUCAGUUAGUUCGUAUGUUCACUUGUGAACCCCCUUGGUGAAAAUCCUAGUUCUGCCAGUGCAAGGGCAGAGCUACGCUUGGGAUAGAGGGUUCAUUUAAACCCCCUGCGACAGAAAAUUAUACUAUACUAUAUAUACAUGGUUAAAAUUAUUUUUUAUGUAUAUAUAUAUAGUAGAUGUUGAACCUCCUUUGGUUAGUUCAUAUGUUAACUUAUGAAACCCCCUAAGUGAAAAUUCCGGCUCCGUCACUGUGGCCCGGCACCCAAUAAAUCCCACGCAAAAUAGGUAUAAUUAUAUAAGAAAUGUAUAAAAACUGAUAUAAGAUGGAAAAAAAUACUCAUGAAAGCUUUGGGUGCUUUGAUUUUCCGACGAAAUCUUAAAGUUUUUUGUGUUGAUAUGCGUGUUUGAACCAUCCGAAUACCCACGACCCUUAAAUUCUGAAUUUGCCACUGGUCUAUCUAUGUUAUACCGUCUCUAAACCCUACUUGCGUAAUUACAUUUGUUAUGUUAUUGUUAUCGUAGGGUUUUGAGGGAUUAGUUUUAUGGCUUAUUAUAAAUGUCAUUUGAGUCAUGUUAUUGUUAUUGUAGGGUCUGAUUAAUCUGAAUUUAUGUCAAAAAAGUCCCAUUUUGAAGGAAAAAUAUUUCUCACCAAAGAUGAGUCGAGUCUGAGAUCUCUAGUUAAAAAUGAAGGAAUAUUUAAUAUUUAUCACUCGAUCGAGCAGAAAUAUUUAUAGGAUGAUAUCAUUUAUUUAACUUGUAACUGGUCGUAUGAGAUCAUUUCCGUACCGUCCUAUCUUUUUCUUUUUUAUUUAAUUUUUCAUAUUUACUACUAACAUAUUUAUUUUACAUAUUUAUUUGUUUUGUGCAGAUGACAAACAAUGGAAAGCUUGCAUGAAUGAUUGUUACAACAAUUAUUGUAAAAAAAUUAGAGCUUAGCCUUUAAAACUUUGUUUUGGGACUUUAACUUUAUAAAAUAAAAACUAAUCUAUGAAAUAAUUACCAGCAUUUCAAUUGUAAAUGUUUUCUUGAUUCUCUAUUUAGCUUAAUAUUCACAAUUUAUUUAUUUAUUCUAAAAGAAAUUAAGAGUAGUGGCAUUUUCCAGUUGAAAAAUAUUAUAAGUGGAGAUUUUAAUUAAAUCGUGAUUCUUUAUAAUGUUAAAUCAUUAAAAAUAGAGAGAAUAUAAAUAGCGAGAGCUUGAUGUAUUUUAAAAUGUAGCAAACUACAUGUAUUCAAGCGCAUAAAAUAAUUUAUUCAAAAUUCAAAAUAUCCAGAUAAGGUAAAUCAUCUCCAAUUUAUGACUAAAUCUUAUCUUUAAUUAGUAACAAAUCAAAUCAUUUCAAUCUAACCAUAUUUAAUUUCUAUACAAAUAUAUACUUAGUAGAUAUAACAACUUUAUUACUCUUAUAAAUUUGUCAACAAUUUAAAUAUAUUUAUCUUUUAAUUUCCAUACAUAUCUGAUAUAUAGCAGAUUUGUUUUUUUACAAAUAUGUCAACUGUUUUUGAUCAUGUCAAUCUAUAUACAUUAAAUAUAUAAAAUAUAUGUAUAAUUAAUAUCCUUUAAUAUUCAUAUCAUAAGAUAAUGAAAAUACAAUUAAUGCAAAGAUUAGAACCAACUAUAUAAGUCCCAUACCCAAAAUUAUAAAAUUGAGAACAAACAAGUUAGUAGUAAAAAAAAAAAAUAUGGCAAAUAUGAUUUCAUUUAUGAAAUUAAUGGUGAUGGUAAUGUUGAUUUAUAAUACACAUGAAUUAAUAAAUUGUGUAUUGGAUAAAGAAUGUUAUUUUAGUUGUCUUGAUUUAUGUGGACAAAAACCAAAUAAAAGUUAAUUUAUAUUAAUUUUACAUAAAUCUCAAGCAUCCUCAGCUUAUCAUGUUCAUUUAUUCACCCAUUACUUUAAAUUUAUUACAUAAUAUCCCAUAAUAAUUUCAGUUACGCGUAUACAUGUUGUAACACUCAGAGACAUGUGGUAAUCCUCAGAUACAUGUUGUAAUCAUGCAGAUACAUGACGUAACCUUCAGAUACAUGCAAUACAUGCGACUAAACCCGAAUACAUGCAUGAGCAGUGGCGGAGCCACCUUAUCAUAAGAGAGAUUUGAACCCCCUUCGAUGAAAAAUUCUACUAUUUAUAUAUGGUUAAAAUUAUUUUUAUGUAUAUAUAAUUGAUGUCGAACCCCCUUUGGCUAGUUCGUAUGCCUACAUUUUUCAAUUUUGAACCCCUUUAAUGAAAUUUAUGGCUCUGCCACUGUGCAUGAGGAUGCAUGCGAUAUAUCUGUGACUGAAUCAUGUAUCCGGACAUCUUAACCAUGUAUCUCGACGUUUUAACAUGUUAUCUGCAUGUAUCUAAAAAGUUACUUGCGUUGUUUAUAAUGUAUCCGCGACUACUGUAUCCUCACUUUUUUAAUGAAAAAUUAUGCAAUACUGAAAUUAGCCAAAUUAUAAGUAGGAAAAAAAUAUUAAAUGCAAUCUUCCUCUUAACAAGCAAAUCUGAUUAUGUAAAUCUAAAUAAAUCAACUAUACUGUUAAUGAAAUAGAUUAAAUUUAAUAUUACUAAAGCAAAGUACAAAUAUUAAAACACAAAGUACAACACAUAUAUACAAAAUUCAAUGUGUAUAUAUAUAUGAAGCACAUAAGACCAUCAAAACACAAAACAAUUAAUAAAUUAGUCAAAAAAUAAAUAUGGCUAAAAAGAUUGAAAUUAUUCCAUUAAUGACAAUUAUGGCGAUGCUAAUUUUGAUUUCUCAUUCAAAAUUAGUGUAUUCUAUAUUGGUUGAAAAAUGUUUUUUGGAAUGUGUUAGAGGAUGCAAAGGUCAAAAACCUGAUUGUGAUAUACUUUGUUAUAAAGUAUGUAAUGAUGAUUAUCCAAUGGAUUAUUGCAAUCUUAAUUGUGCAAUUAACAAAUGUGGAAGUUUAAUUAAAGGUAUAUUUUUUUUUAGGGAUUUUUAGGGUUUAAUUACAUUUUUUUUAGUCGAUGAUGUGUCAGAAAUGGUCUCUUCGUCUCAGAAAAAUGAAGGUAAGGUAUUUCGCUUUGUGAAAUUAAUUGCAGUGGUUAUAUUGUUCUUGUAGGGUUCUGAGAGAUCGAGAUCGAUUUUAGGGUUGAUUAUAAAUGUUAUUCGAGUUAUGUGGUGUUUUUCACGCCACAAUAUCGAUUAAGAAUAAAUUAAACGCGAUAUCUGGGACUGGGAGAUUGACUUAUGACCUAUUAUACCUUCUUUUAGAGUUUUUUAGGCUUUUAAUUACAUUUUUUUUUGUUAGUGUUGUGUCGGAAAUAGUCUCUUCGUCUUACAAAAAUAAAGGUAAGGUACUCCGCCUUGUGAGAUUAUACUAAUUAUAUGUUGUUCUUUUAGGGUUUUGAGAGGUUGAGAUCGAUUUUAUGAUUGAUUAUAAAUGUUAUUCGAGUUAUGUGGUUCUUUUCACGCCACAUAUCUGGGGCUGGAAGAUCGACUUUAUGACCCGUUAUAAAUGUUUGAAUAAAUCUUAAAGAAUUUUUAAUAUAUGAGGUACAUCAAUUUUUGGUCUAAUAUAUAAAUGCGCUUUUAUCCGGGGGUCUAUCAGAAACAACCUUUCUACUUUUUCGGAAGUAGCGGUAUAGACUGCGUACAUUUUACCCUCCCCAGACCCUGGUGGGAAUUCACUGGGUUUGUUGUUGUUGUUGUUGUAUAUAAAUGCGCUUUGAGCUGCGUAUAUGAUGUUUUCGUAGGAGAUCGAUAAAAAAAAAAAAAAAACUCAAGAGAUAGGUAAAUAAAACUUUGGAUUGGAGUAUGUUUUUUUAUAUGAUAUUAAUGUUUUUUAUUUAAUUUGUUACUGAUCAUAUGAGAUCAUUUCCGACUUAUAAUUGUAUCUUUUUUUAUUAUUAUUUAUUUAAUUAUUCUUCGAUUUACUACUAACAUAUUUAAUUAUUUGUUUUAUGCAGAUGACAAACAAUGGAAAGGUUGCAUGAAUAAUUGUUCCAACAAUUAUUGCAAAAAUUAGAGCUUUGUUUAAUGAUUUUAAUUUUGUAAAACCAAAUCUAAUCUGUGAAAUUAUUGUCAAAGUUUUAAUAAUAGAUGUUUUUUUUCCUUGAUUCUAUAUUUGGAUUAAUAUUCAGGAUUUAAUUUCCUUUUACAAAAAGAAAAAAAUUAAGAAAAGUUUAAGUGGCAUUUUGCAAUUAGAAAAUAUUAUAAAUGAAAAUGUUUAUUAAACCUUGAUUAUUUAUAAUGUUAACUUAUUAAAACUAUAGGGAAAAAAAAUACAAAUAUUGAGAGUUUAGAUGUACUAAGCGCAUAAAAUAGCUUAUUCUAAAAUCGCACGGAUACAAUAUCUAAUUAUAACUAUAUGUGUAUGUAUAUGUUGUUAAUUGUAUAUGUUUGUGUGCCCGAUUGUACGUAUGUACCUGUGGACAAUGACGGUUAGAAUUUUUAGAUACACAUAUACAUGUAAAUAUAAGUGCAUAAACGCUAUAAAGUUUCAUAAUCUCGUUAUGUUAUGUAUUUUUCAAAAUAUCACUAUAAAGUGGGCGGAGUUCACUAGUUCGGCUAAUUUUUCAAUAAAAAAUAAAUCAUAUACGAAAAUACACGAAUACAUAUGAAAUUUCUUUCAUUGUCAAAGGAGAAAAAAAAAGAUUCAAACGUAACAUCCGAUAUCUGAAUUUAGACUUUUUUUUAUAUUCAAAACUCGAAAUCUCCAAAUAAGGUAAAACAUUUACUCCAAUUUAUGACUAAUCUUCUCUUUAAUUAGUAAAAAAAAAUCAAAUCAAAUCAUUUCAAUCAACUGCAUUUAAUAUUUAUACAAAUAUAUAUUUAUUGCCCUUAAAAAUAUGCCAACUGUUUAAAUAUAUAUCCUUUAAUAAUUUCCAUACAUAUCUAUAUUUACCAAAAAAUAAAUCCAUACAUACCUAAUUGAUAUAUAAAAUAUUUUUUGCUUUUAAUUCAUUAACACAUAGUACACCAACUAUAUAUAUAAGUCACAUAAAGUGAGAACAAACAAGUUUAUAAGUUAAAAAAAAUAAAAUGGCAAAUUUUUUUUCUUUUAUGAAAUUUAUGGUGAUGAUAAUUAUGAUCACUAAUUUACAAUUAGUAUAUUGAAAAUUAUAUCAACAAUGUUUUAGGGAUUGUAUUAAAGCAUGUUUUCAAAGUCCUGGAUGUUAUAUCUCAUGUGCAAGAGAAUGUGAAACUUUUUCUUUAAAUAAUUUUUUAUCACCAACAAAUUAUUGUAAUCUUGGUUGUUCAAUUGACAGAUGUUUAAGUUUAAUCCAAGGUAUUAUGAGAUUUUUAUUUGGUUAUUUUUAUUUAAUUAAAUCGUAACUGGUUAUAGACGAUCAUUUUCUCCUUAGGACGACAGGUAAAAUGUUAUUGGUAUAUAUAUUUUUAUGAGUAGUUGUAUAUUUUUUUUUUGGUUAUAUGAGGGGUGUAUUUAUAGUUCUCGGUAUGAGUUUACAUGAACUCGAUAAUUUUUGUUUGAAUUUUUUUAUAUUAAGAAUUUUGAAAUUUGGUGUGUUGGUCUAGUUAUUAUAUAUUAGAUGGGUGGAAUUUACAUCAAUUAGCGAUUAAUUUUUUUUAUUUUUUUUUUGUAAUUUAUUGGCUGUCUAGAUAAUAGUUUAAAGAUUUCUUUUGAGCAAAUUGAAAAUCUUAUGACAGGUGGUAGAUCGUAAUUUCGAAUUUGUAAAUUAUAUUAUUACAAAAAUCAAUGAGUCUAUUUUUUAUUUUUUUUGUAUGCAAGAUCAAAUAUAUAUGAGCAAAGUUGGGAGAUUGCGUAAAUCAAUUUUUAAAAUUAAAAUUAUUAUAAAAAUUCAUAAAUUUCAAAUUUUAAAUCUUUCUAUUUAUAAAUGAAUCAUUUUCAUCUAUUCAAAUAGUAAUUUGUCAUUAACUCAUAUGAUAUCAUAUUUUCAUCUAGGUUAAUUGUAAUUUUAAUUUCUUAUUAUUAUUAUUAUUUUUUUCUCCUAUUUCACUAUCAUAUUUAUUUUGUGUAUUUUAUUAUUAUUAUUAUUAUUAUUAUUUUGUACAGAUGACAAACAAUGGAAUGGUUGCAUGAAGGAUUGUUUUGGAGAUUACUGCAAAAAAGCUUAGAAAAAAAAAUUAUAAUAUUAAUUAAUGUAAUAUCAUUAAUUAAUGUUGUAAAUGAAUCCCUAAUAAAUGUCAUUGUUUGCCAUAUUUUUAUAAUAUAUGCUUUUCUUGAAUCAGUAUUUAAAUAGAUGUUGAUUUCGUUGUUCCAUCAUUUUGAACAUAUAAAAUUUAAAUUUAUAAGAGAAAAUUUGGCUAUUAAGUUUCUUUAAGUUUUUAAUUAACAAAAUGGUCUACUUUUAUUUUCUCAUUUGUCGGACAGAUAACAGAUUUGUCUAUAUAUCUGUCGGACAGAUAAUAGAUCUGUCGGAUUGAUAAUUAAUCUGUCUAUAUAUCUGUCGUACAGAUAAUAGAUCUGUCGGAUUGAUAAUCAGUCAGUCUUAUAUAUCUGUCGAAUAGAUAAUAUAUCUGUCGAACGGAUUGCUAAUCAAUCAGUCUUAUAUAUCUGUCGGAUAGAUAAUAGAUCUGUCUUAAAAAUAGGUCAUCUCCCUAAAUAAAAAAACUUAUGGUCCAUUUAAUUAAAAAAUAGACUUAAAAGGUGUAUUUAACAAAGUUUGGAGAAAAAUCGUGGUGGAAAUGCGGUUGAAAGAUGAAAUGAGACAACAGAACGAGUGAAAGAAGUUACUGAUGAGCAGAGGUAGAGGAUGCCCUUUUAGUGGCCUCGUGCGGUACUCAAAAAAGACAAGCGCAGUAGAUAGUGCCUUUCAUAGAACGGUGCCUAUGGGAAGUAAGGGCUAGAGGAUGCUAAUCACUAAUAGAAUCUACGGUCUCAGUUGGCUGAAACCUUUCGAAUUGCUUCCGUUUUUGCUUCUACUAGAGCAUAGCGCGAGCCUUGCACCCUUCAGCUGACGCUCUCGUUUGGCGCUGGUGCCUUGCUUCAGCGCUAAGGCUUUUAUAGCUAUGAAGUUGUUAUUUCUGCUUUAUAGCGUUGAAGUCGUUUUCUGCUUUCACUUCGGCCUUGUUAGAUAGAGUCUCACUUUAAGGUCGAGUAGCUUCUUGGUCGCCAACACUCAAUCGUCUGACGGUCGCCAACUUUCAAAGAGUUCUCAGACUAGAAGACAUAGUUGAUUAGAUCCAGAAACUUCAGCAGCUCCUCGCAUCCCCAACUACGAGUGCCACAUAACAUCACAUUGUAGUAGGCAUCUGUAAGAAAGCCGUGAUGAAUAGCGUCAUCCCCAAGCACUGUCCGAACAAGUUCAGGCAUGGUCCAUUCCGGGGGUAAUACCCUCCCGGCUUCAUGCACACACCUGGUGUAUUCAUCACAUACUUUAGAAAAGAAUUUCUCAAAGUCAGGUGGAGCACUUUGCGCGUCGGACGCUGUUGAAGAACUAGUUGAUGUGCUACUAGCGGAAGGGAAAUAAAUAGGAUCCCUCCGCAUAAAUUCUAAAUCGCUAAGCGUUGUAUUACCAACAAUUUGAUAAAGGACGAUUUGAUUCAUUAGUAUGAGUUAAGUUCUUGUUAUCAAGUAGGGAUCCUACGGAAUGG
rnacentral:lncRNA from 1 species